rnacentral:lncRNA from 1 species
UCUGAGUAUCCAUUCUACCUCUUUGAUCUCCAACGCAAGGUAAUUUUUUGGGUUUUUCUGUUUUUCAAUCGUUCAAAUUGGAAUAUAUAAUGGAAACAUCAGCGAAAAAAUCCAUGAUUUCCAGCAAUACAAGUGAAGGGAUUGAUAGAAUAAGCACAUUGCCAGAUGAGGUAAUCCACAACUUACUUUCCUCUCUCUCUAUAUUUGAUGAAGUAGUUCAGUUGAGUGUAUUGUCCAAAAGAUGGAGAUAUAUAUGGACUACAAUGCCUUAUUUGCACUUUGAUAUUGAUAAUUCUUGUCUACAACGGCUCUAUGGUGGAAGGUGGGAUUUUCAUAUGAUACCGAAGGAAAAAUUCAAAGACUCCCUUUGGGUCCUAAUUUCCCAAAGGGAGACUAAGCUUGCCAAGUUUCUGAUGGAAAAAACAGUGAUGAGAAGAAAAACGUGGACUCUAUUCAAUUGGCGAAAAAUUGAUCGUAUCUUUGAAGUACAUCAAGGGAACUCUUUAAAUAGAGUUUUACUCACAGAAAAAAUAACGUAGCAAUCCACUAACUCCUAUGAUUACUCAACUACUAACAAAUUAAAAGGAUUCUCCUGCUUCUAUUCAACAACCUACUUAUUUGCUAAAGACUCGGUCAACUAAAACACUAGCUAACAAAUGAAAGAGAAAAAACAAUAACUAACAAUCCCUCCCUUAAACUGAAAGUCACACUAUCAGUAUAACAUGCUUGCAGCAGACAACUUGUUUUAAAUGUGAUUUUCCAAAGUGCAAACACCAAGUAAUUUUCUAAACUUCAAGAAGGAUGCUAACUUGAGAGAUUUGGUAAACACAUCAGCCAGCUGAUCUUCACUUCUGCAGAAGAUGAGAUCAAUUACUCCAUCUUUUGUGAGGUCCCUUAAGAAUGAAAUUUGACAUCAAUAUGUUUACUUCACCAUGCUGAACAACUUGGAGAGCUUUAUUGCUGAACUGCUGUCACAAUAAAUGGUAGUAGAGCCAUUUUGCUUGAAAUGAAUUUCUUCAAGAACUUUACGCAUCCAAAUUGCUUGACAGGCACAUGUUGCUGCUGCCACAAAUUCAGCUUCUGGAAUUGAUAGAGUCACAAUUGAUUGCUUUCUCGAAGACCAUGAAAUUGCUCCCGACCCCAUCAUAAAGACAUAACCAGACGUACUCUUUCGAUCAUCUGAAUCUCCCGCAAAAUCACUGUCAGUAAAGCCAACUAAGUCUGCUUUUCUCCUUUCGCGUAGAACAGACCAUAAUUAGUAGUUCCUUGCAAGUAUCAAAAAAUUCUCUUUGCGGCUAGAAGAUGCAUCUCUUUGGGACUUUCCAUGUAUCUGCUAAUAAGACUUACAACAUGCAUAAUAUCAGGCCUUGUGGCCGUUAAAUACAUCAAACUUCCCACUAUUUGUUUGUAAAGAGUGUUGUCAACUAUUCUUCCUCCAGGUUCUUUAGUGAGCUUCGAACCGAACUCAGUGGGACUGUUGGCAGAGUUGCAACUCUUCAUCUGAAGCCUGUCCAAAAUCUCUUGAGCAUACUUCCUUUGUGUGAUGAAAAUCCCAUCAGCAGAUUGAACGACUUCAAUGCCAAGAAAAUAAUGCAUCAUUCCAAUAUCCGUCAUAUCAAAUUCCACCAUCAUGGACUUCUUAAAACUUUCAACCAUGGAGAUGUCAUUUCCGGUGUAAAUUAAAUCAUCCACAUAUAAACAAACAAUGAGCAUUUUUCCUUUAUCAUCAUUCUUUGUAAAGAGUGUGUGCUCAUAUGGACAUUUCUUAAAUCCCUCCUUCGAAAAAUAAGCAUUUAUUCGACUAUACCAAGCUCGUGGAUCUUGUUUUAGUCCAUACAAUGCCUUCUUUAAUUAACACACCUUAUGUUCUUCUCCAACCUUGACAUAACCUGGAGGUUGAUCAACAAAUACAUGUUCAUCCAAGUCCCCAUGUAAGAAGGCCGAUUUGACGUCCAUUUGAAAAAUGGGCCAUAAGUGUUGAGCAGCCAAAGCUAUCACUAAUCUGAUAGUGUCUAGUCGUGCCACUGGAGCAAAAACUUCUUUGUAGUCCACACCGAACUCUUGCUUAUAGCCUUUAGCUACUAAGCGUGCUUUGUGCCGCUCGACUUUACCUUCCUUAUUCAUCUUUUUCUUGUAUAUCCACUUGACACCGAUUGUCUUAUGCCCUUUUGGAAGCUCUAUCAACUCCCAAGUGUCAUUUCUAUCAAUUGCUGCCAUUUCUUCAUCCAUUGCCUUUUGCCAUUUUUCAUCUUUAACAGCUUCUUCAAAACUGGUAGGAUCACUUUCUGAAAAUAAGGCAAAAUGAAUGACUGGAUCUUCCGAUUGAUCAAUUCCAGUUACCUUAAAAUCUGCCAUCCAUGCGGGUCUCCUUUUUUAUCGUUGAGGUCUCUCCGUUUCUUGUGUAGGAAUUGAAAUCGGUGAUUGAACUGGAUCUGAAUUUUCCAGUUGUUCUGUCUCCUCCAGUUGUAGCGUUUCCUCUUCAAAAGCCACUGGAACAAGCUGCUGAUCUCCUUUGUCCUUCUAUGACCAAGUAGUAUUUUCAUAAAAAAUUACAUCACGACUAAUGACAAUUUUCUUGGUGUUUGGAUUAUAUAACUUAUAAGCCUUAGAUUGAUUACUAACACCAAGAAAAAUGCAUUUUUCUCCUAUUUAUCAUCUAGUUUGAUCCUUUUCUGAUCUGGAACAUGAGCAUAGGCCACACAUCCGAAGUAUUUAAAAUAGUCGACACUUGGUUUCUGCCGGCUCCAUGCCUCCUUCGGAGUCAUAAUUUGAACAGAGAAAGUUGGACUUCUAUUUAAAAUAUGAAUGCUUUAGUCAACUACUUCUGGCCAAAAGCUUUUUGAGACACCGCUCCUUGUCAAAAUGUUGCACACCAUAUUGAGGAUUGUGAGAUUCUUCCGCUCACAAACACCAUUUUGCUGAGGUGUGUAAGCUGUUGUAAAUUGCCUCUUGAUUCCAUUUUCCUCACAAAAAUUUGUAAAUUCUUGAGAAUUGAACUCUCUUCCACGAUCAGUACGAAGAACUUUCAAUGGACUUCCAGUUUCUUUCUCAACAAGUACUUUAAAACGUUUAAAACUGUCAAACGCUUCAGACUUUUCUUGUAAAAAAUACACCCAUGUUUCAAACUGAAGUCAUCAAUGAAGGUUAUGAAGUACCUUUUUACCACCAUUGGAAUUUGGAUUUAUUGGUCCACAGAGAUCUGAGUGCACCAAUUCCAGCAACGCCUUUGCUCUCCUAGAUUUGCCUUGUGGAAAUGGAUUGCGAGGUUGUUUGCUAACAACACAACUUUCACAAGUUCCUGAAGGAGCUGCAAUUUGAGGAAGACCGUUCACCAUUUUCUUCUGAUGUAGCGUUCUCAAUCCAUUAAAAUUAAGGUGCCCAUAACGGAAAUGCCAUAACCAGGCAUCAUCUUUCACUUUUGCAGAAAAACAAGAUUUUUUAGAGUUGUGAAGAUGUAACGGGAACAAGUGAUUUGACAUGUUAAUUUGAGUGAUCAACCCCAAAUGAGAAUCUCGUAUCUUACACACUCCACCUUUGAUAUUAAUUUCAUAUCCAUCUUCUUGAAGUUGCCCAACACUUAAUAAAUUUGUCUUCAAAGCAGGAACAUAAUACACAUCACCUAUGGUAUGAAUAUAGUUAUUUUUUGUUGAGACCAGCACCUUCCCUUUCCAUGGCAGAGACCACUGAGUUAUCUCCAAAUCUCACAGUACCUCAAAAAGUUUCAUCCAAUUAUGAGAAUUCCUCCUUUUGCCCAGACAUGUGAUUACUGCAGUCGGUAUCGAGAUACCAUAAAUUAGUGGGAACUUUCUCUUUGGAAUGAUAUGCCAUCAAAAGUGAAACCUCUUCUUCUUCCUUCGUUUGUGCAAAAUUAGAUUCCUCUCCACGCAACUUAGACAAAUCUGUUCGGCAUUCUGAUUUAAAAUGACCGAAUUUGUGGCAUCUGUAACAUUCAACUUUAGACUUGUCCCAUAACUUUGAGUUGUUGCCACCUCGCCCCUUUCCUCUGCCUUGAUUAUCAUGGUUUUAACGGUGUUGACAAUUUCCAUGAUAAUCACUAUUGCCUCGGCCUCUACCUCUGCCUCUACCAAUACCUCUGUUAUACCCUUGUCCUCCGGAACGAUCAUCUGUUGAGGCACUCAAUGCCACCUCCUCCUUUUCUUGUUGUAGUAAUUUUUUGCUCGUGAAUCAACAAAGAGCUCUACAAUUCAUCAAUUGAAAGCAAAUCAAUAUCAUGAGAUUCUUCAAUAGAACAAACAACAAAGUUAAAUUUUGGUGUCAUGGUCUGAAGAAUCUUUUCAACAAUUGUAACUUCAUUUGACUUGUCACCGUGGAUCCGCACUUUGUUGAGGACUGUCAUCACCCGUGAAAAAUAGUCGAUAACUGACUCUCCAGAUUUCAUUCGAAGAGUUUCGAACUCCGAACGAAGUGCUUGAAGCUGCUGCCUCUUUGCCCUCGUCAAUCCUUGAUAUUUCUUCUUCAUGGAGUCCCAAAUCUGGUUAAAAGUAUCUUUAGAAAGAAUAGUUUCCAAGAUUGAACCUUCAAUUGCUUGGAAAAGAUAAUUCUUCGCCUUGAGGUCCUUCAACUUUGCUGCUUGUGCUUUUGCUUUUUGUGCGUCUGACACUGAUGUGCCUUUUGCUGGUUCUGGUAUGCCAUCCACAACCACUUGCCAAUACUCCUUUAAUCUUAGGAAAUUCUCCAUCAACAUGCUCCAAUGAUCAUAGUGACCAUCAAAGCGAGGAAUGGCUGCUUGCACAAAGUUUUCUGAAGCCAUAGUUUCAAACGUUGCUGUUGCAAUUUCUUUUAGUAUUUCUCUCACCAACCUGACUCUGAUAUCACUGAUGAAAAAAACAAUGAUGAGAAGUGUGAAGUUAUACGUAUAUGCCAGCUGUCCAAUUAAGUUUAAUUAAAGAUGUUUGUGAUUAAUUAGUUGAUUAGUUAGUUUGUUAAACAAGUUAGUUACAAUUCUGUCAGAGUUAGUUAAGCUGUAGUAUUUAGCUUUAAAUACAGAUGUAUGAGCUUUGCUCAAGUUAGUUGUGUUGAUUGAUAAUGAGAAGGUUUCUGGGUUUCUCUUCUCCCAUGUAUCGUCACACAUCUCCUCUAUAAUUCUUCCUCCAUUGUUGAAUACUCUGCAUCUUAUCAUGGUAUCAGAGCCUAGGUUCUCAACUUAGCUGUUAUUCCGUUGUAUUUCUUUCAGUUUUAGAUUACAAAUUCUCGGUGUGUAUUCAUGGCGAUUGAGGAUCAGACUGUGUUACCAACAGUUACUCAGGUUGUAGAGAUUGAUCAUCAUCAUCCAUUGUAUCUUCAUCCAAGUGAUACACCAGGAAGCUCUCUAGUCUCUAUUCAGCUUACUGGACAGGAGAAUUAUGCAAUUUGGAGUCGAUCAAUGCGUCUAGGGUUGCUGGGAAAGAGCAAAUUGGGAUUUGUUGAUGGUAAGCAUCCUAGAGAAGCUUUUCCUUCUUCUCUUCAUGAUCUGUGGGAAAAGUGCAAUGCCAUAGUGCUCUCAUGGAUUAUCAAUUCUAUCAGGAAGGAUUUACUGAGUAGUGUCAUUUAUGCUUCUAAUGCUUCAAAGGUAUGGAUCGAUCUAAAGGAAUGCUUUGAUAAGGUUGAUGGAUCUAGAAUUCACUACCUUCAUAAGGAGAUUCAUUCAAUGUCUCAAGGAACUUCCACUGUAUCUAGCUACUACACUAGAUUACGUGAGUGUUGGGAUGAAUUUGAUGCAAUUAUGCCAUGCCCAGGGUGCAAUUGUCCAGAGUCCAGAACAUAUAUGCAUCACUUCGAGUAUCAGAGAUUGCUGCAGUUUUUGACUGGCCUAAAUGAUUCCUAUGCUCAGAGUCGUAGUCAGAUUCUCUUAAUGUCUCCUACACCCUCCAUUAACCAAGCCUAUUCCAUGGUGGUUUCAGAGGAAAGCCAGAGAUCUUUGGGCAAAGCAGUUCAAUCUGCUGAGGUGGGUGAAGGUACUGCAUUCUACAGCUCUGGUAAUAGAGGCAAUUUUAAACAGGGAUCAAGCUCUAGUAAUACAUCCUCCAGAUCUGGAUAUCAUGGAGGAAGUUUCUCUAGUUCUGGUGAUAAUUCCACCUUUGGUGUUGGUAUGCCUAAUGGAUCAUCUUCCAACCUUAAAACUGCAAAAGGCAAUCAAGGUCUGUACUGUGAUUACUGUCAUCAUACAGGUCAUACCAGUGGUACUUGUUAUAGACUACAUGGUUACCCUGCUAACUUCAAGCACACUUUCAAGAAGAAGUCUAGCAACUCACCCACAACUGGAAGGGGAAGGACUGUUCACUAUGCUGCUGGAGAUGCUAACUCUCAAUGGAAUAGGAAUCCUGCAUCUGAUCCUGGAGGUUAUGCAGGUAGUUCUAUAAAUGCAUCUAGAGGGUUCCCAAAUUCUCCUAAUUACUACCUCUCCUACUGGUGGUUUUAACUGGAUAGUGGAUACGGGGGCUACUCAUCACAUGGUAAAUAAUCCUAGGAUUCUAUUUGAUGCUAAAUCCUGCUCUAAUUCUAGAUCAGGUAAUGUGUCCUUGCCUACUGGAGGUAUUGCAAAAGUUAGUCACUUAGGAUCUACUGCAGUCUUGGAUAAUCAGACAGUUCAUAAUGUGAUGUGUUUACCUGAUUUUAAACACAAUCUACUGUCAGUUUCAAAGCUUACAAGGGACUUAAAGUGCUCCGUCAGCUUCUAUCCUGAUUUCUGUAUUUUUCAGGAUCUCUACAGUGGACAGGUGAGAGGGAUUGGUCAACAUGAUCAAGGUCUAUAUGUGAUGAAUUCUUCCUGCAAUUUUUUGAAGCAAGCUGCUGAGAAUAAAAGUCUUCAUAAGACCAGUUGUUGUUCUUUUCUAGUUAGAAAGCAGAAAAAUAGUAUCGGCCUAGCUUUAUGGCAUAAGAGACUAGGGCAUGUGCCUAUACACACAUUAAAGAAGCUGAAAUACUUUGAUAAUGUUUGUAUUGCUGAUUCUGAUACUGAUCAUUGUACUGUAUGCCCUUUGGCAAAGCAAUCCAGACUGCCUUUUCCUCUUAGUUCUACUUUAUCUGAUGCCUGCUUUACACUCAUUCAUGGUGAUGUAUGGGGUCCCUACAGAGUCCCUACUCAUGAUGGUAAGAAGUACUUCCUUACACUGGUUGAUGAUCACUCCAGGUAUACCUGGUUAUUUCUUCUCACCUCCAAAGCUGAAGUCAUAGUAGCUCUCACAAAUUUCAUGUUGAUGAUUAAGAAUGUGUAUUCUGCAUCUGUUAAAUUCUUCAGAACUGAUAAUGGGUGUGAGUUUUUUAAUUCUCAAGUCUCACAUUUGUUAAACACUCUUGGUAUUGUCCACCAGAGUUCCUGUGUAUACACACCUCAACAAAAUGGGGUGGUUGAGAGGAGGCACAGAUAUAUCCUAGACACUGCUAGGGCUAUAAGGUUUCAAUCCAAUGUCCCUCUUAAAUUCUGGGGUUACUGUGUUACAACUGCUGUUUAUGUAAUCAACAGGUUACCAUCUUCCACUCUUAAGGGGAAGGUUCCUUUUGAAGUCCUUCAUAAACAACCUCCUGAUCUUAGUCAUCUCCGAGUCUUUGGCUGUUUGGGAUAUGUUACUUGUCUUCGAAAGUCAGAUAAAUUCUCUCCUAGAGCUCUUCCUGCUGUCCUUCUUGGUUAUUCUCUUACUCAGAAGGGCUAUAUCAUGUGUACUCUUCAUGAGGAAAACUUCAUAGUCAGUCGAGAUGUCCUUUUCAAGGAAGAUGUUUUUCCUUUUCAUCAUCCAGUUCAUAAGAGUUCUCUUCUGUUUCCUGUGCCUUCACUCUCCUCUGAUUAUUCUCCUCCUGAUAAUGUGCAGUUUCAUGUGUCUAGUACCCUUGUUCAUGAUUCUCCCACUGCGUGUGCUGAGUCUCCUAUGCCUUUUGACCCUGUUCCCUCUGAGCCUCCUAUCUUGCCUCUUGAUGUAGCUCCUAGGAAAUCCCACAGGACCACCAAACCUCCUAUAUGGAUGCAGGACUAUGUAGCUCCUUCUAAGGGACUUGUCUCUUGUCAGUUUCCCAUUUCAAAUUAUGUUGCCUAUGACUGCUUGUCCCAGUCUUAUAGCACUGCUUUAGCUGCAUAUUCCGCUACUUUAGAACCAUCUAGUUACUAUGAUGCAGUAAAGAAUCCUCUGUGGAUUGAUGCUAUGAAGCUAGAAAUUGCAGCUUUGGAAGAUAAUCACACAUGGACUUUAGUUGAUCUACCCCCUGGUAAAUCUCCUAUUGGAUGUAAAUGGGUAUUCAAGAUCAAAUACAAAGCCAAUGGUGAAGUUGAAAGGUACAAGGCAAGACUUGUUGCUAAGGGAUUCAGUCAAAAAGAGGGCCUUGAUUAUACUGAAACUUUCUCUCCUGUGGCUAAAAUGGUCACGGUGAGGUCUGUGGUUGCUGUGGCUGCUGCAAAACACUGGCCUAUUUUUCAGAUGGAUGUUCAUAAUGCUUUCCUCCAAGGUGAUCUUUAUGAAGAGGUGUAUAUGCAUGUUCCUCAGGGGUUUGGUAGUCAGCGGGGGAUUGGUAAAGUGUGCAGACUCAACAAGUCUCUAUAUGGUCUAAAACAGGCACCUAGACAGUGGAACAAGAAGCUCACUGAAGCUCUGAUAGACCUUGGUUUCUGUCAAAGUCAUUUUGAUUACUCUUUGUUUACCAAACGGGCAGAUUCUCAGAUUGUUGUGGUGUUAGUAUAUGUAGAUGAUUUACUUGUUACUGGCAGUAGUUCAGAGAUAAUUCUACAGACUAGAAAUGAUCUGAUGCUCAGAUUCAAGAUGAAAGAUUUGGGGCAAUUGAAGUUCUUCCUAGGUAUUGAAUUUGCCAGGUCACAGCAGGGCAUUCACAUGAGCCAGAGAAAGUAUGCUCUAGAGUUGAUUGCUGAGAUGGGAUUAGGUGGAGCUAAGCCAGCUAGCACACCUAUGGAAGCCAAUAUCAAAUUGACUUCUGUUGACUUUGAUGAUCAUAUAAAAGGAUCGCAAACAGAAGAUAUUGAUAGAAUUUUGGAUGAUGCAGGUCCCUAUCAAAGACUAGUUGGAAGAUUGCUCUAUCUAACAAUGACCAGAGUUGACAUCACCUAUGUAGUGCAAGUGCUAAGUCAGUUUAUGCACAAACCAAAACAAUCACAUAUGGAGGCUGCCUUGAGGGUAGUAAGAUAUAUUAAAGCUGAGCCUGGACUUGGUUUACUUAUGCCUUCAGAAGACACAGACAAGUUAACAGCAUAUUGUGACUCUGAUUGGGGAGGAUGUAUUGAGUCAAGGAGGUCUGUCACUGGCUACAUUGUAAUGUUUGGUAAUGCUUUAGUGUCUUGGAAGUCGAAGAAACAAGACACAGUAUCCAGAAGCUCAGCAGAAGCUGAGUUCAGAUCCAUGGCUUCUACUGUGGCUGAAAUAACUUGGCUAGAAGGCAUGUAUAAAGAGUUGGGUGUUAGCAUCAGUCGACCAGUGCAGCUGUUUUGUGAUAGUAAAGCUGCUAUUCAAAUUGCAGCUAAUCCAAUAUUUCAUGAGAGAACUAAACAUAUAGACAUCGAUUGUCAUUUUGUAAGGGAGAAGAUAGUACAAAAUUUAGUUCAAACACAACAUGUAUCUACAAAGGAGCAGUUGGCUGACUUGCUUACUAAGAGUCUGGGCAGACUAUCCCAUGACUACUUAAUGUCCAAGCUUGGUUUGAAGAAUCUCUUCCAACCAUUAGCUUGAGGAGGGGUGUGAAGUUAUACGUAUAUGCCAGCUGUCCAAUUAAGUUUAAUUAAAGAUGUUUGUGAUUAAUUAGUUGAUUAGUUAGUUUGUUAAACAAGUUAGUUACAAUUCUGUCAGAGUUAGUUAAGCUGUAGUAUUUAGCUUUAAAUACAGAUGUAUGAGCUUUGCUCAAGUUAGUUGUGUUGAUUGAUAAUGAGAAGGUUUCUGGGUUUCUCUUCUCCCAUGUAUCGUCACACAUCUCCUCUAUAAUCUUCUCCAUUGUUGAAUACUCUGCAUCUUAUCAAGAAGAAAAACGUGGACUCUAUUCAAUUGGCGAAAAAUUGAUCGUAUCUUUGAAGUACAUCAAGUGAACUCUUUAAAUAGAGUUUUACUCACAGAAAUAAUAACGUAGCAAUCCACUAACUCCUACGAUUACUCAACAACUAACAAAUUAAAAGGAUUCUCCUGCUUCUAUUCAACUACCUACUUAUUUGCUAAAGACUCUGUCAACUAAAACACUAGCUAACAAAUGAAAUGAAAGAGAAAAAACAAUAACUAACAGUUUCUACUCUGUGUUACUCCACAUGGUUAUUUUGAUAAGAUGGAGAUUUUUCGGUGGAUUCAUGCAGCAACGAGGCGAAAUGUUCAAGAAGUUGUGUUAGAAUUUACUCUUUGUGAGCCAUUAGAGUUACCAAUUUGUCUUGCAACUUGUGAAUCUUUGCAAGUUUUAAAGCUAAACCUGCCCAGGGAUAUACUUAAACUGCCUAAUCAUUUUGGAUUUCGUCAGCUGAAAUUGCUCCAUCUUGAGGAUGUCGAGUUAUCGGACAAACAUUCCCCAAAUUGCUUCAUCUCAAAAUGUCAUCAACUCAAAAGUUUGAUCUUACAUGAAUGUGGUUUAGGAGCUAUUACACUACUUUUUAUCGCUUCCACAUCUCUUAGUUCUGUUACUAUUAUAGCGGACUAUUAUUAUGAGGAUGAGUAUGGCAAAUGCGAACUCCCCAAUCUCAAAUUCUUAAAUUAUGAAGCUCCAAUGCCAAAUGAUAUAAUCAUCGAGAAUCUGUUUUCAAUAGAUGUUAGUAUCGCGUUUACCAAUACACGUGCGGACACUCAGAUAUUUGUGCAUAAGAUGAUCAAGGAAUUAAGUUUCUUUUACAUCAGUUUUGGCACUAUGCAAUGAUUCUAUUUUGGUAAAGUUCUCUUCAUAAAAGGGGAAUACAAAUAUUUAAAAAGAUAUACACGUACAAUUUUUAAACAUAAAGUCUUAAGUCCUUAUAAAAAUAUAUUAACAGUCUAAGUAUUUAUCGUUAAAAAAAUAUACUUAAGUAUUUUCUUAGUUGUUUGGAGGGCUUGUUGGUAGCUUUUCAAUUAGUCUCUUUAUUACUGAUAAAUUUCUCACUACUUAGCUGUAAAAAAAUAAAUCCAAGAAGUUUCUCACUUCUUAGUCAUAAGAAAAAUUCUCAUUUCUAGUAUUUUUGUUUGUGUAGGGUAUGUAUAAAUUAAAGCAGCUAGUAAAGAAAGGCUCUCCCUCGUCUCCUUUUAUAAGUUGAAGACCUUAAACUGUAUGCGAGAGUUGAUGGUGAUUUUAUUCUAGCUAUGAUAUUAUUGCUCAAGUAUUCUCCUAAUCUGGAGGUUCUACAGUUGCUGUCUUACUAGGUAAAGCUCUUCAUUUUUUUUAUCACAAAUUUUGUGCACAAAUUCCAUUUCUUUUAUAUUGUAGUCGGAAAUACUUGUAAGUUUUUGUUGCCUAAAAAAAAAUGACUUGUAAGUUUUGUGACAUAAAACUAGAAGUUGAUAAACAUGGAAGGUAUCUUUGAAAAACAAAUGCCGGUGAAACUAGGCUCAAGGACUAUCGUCUCUAAAAUUUCCAAGGAAAGGUUCAAUGGUAAUUGCUUUGUCAUUGCAACAAUGCUAAACUAUGAACCUAUAUUCGAGAAAACAUAUCUUGACAAGCAAAAAUCUACCGACCAAAAUGGUAGACAUACCACAGUGAAAGGAAUAGGAUCUGACUUAAAAUUGGGUUUAACUUUUAACCUUUACCUAGGAAGUUGGCAACUAUAACCUGUUUACUCAUGCCAUAUGAUUUAAAUCACGUUUGCACCUAAGGGUGUGGCCUAGUUGUCAAUGAAGUGAUUGAGAACCAUGAGGUCUCGGUUCAAUUCCCAGUGGAGACAAAAAAUACUAGGUGAUUCUUCCAUAUGUCCUUUGUUGCUAGCGGGAGGUGACAAGUAUCUUGUGAACUUAGCCGAGGUGCGCGCAAGCUGGCCUGGACACCAUGGUAAUAAAAAAAAUGAUUUAAUCGCAUUUGCUGCAUAAUACUUAAUGUUUACAUCCCUACUCUAUUCAAAUAGGGAGAAACGUCGCGGUGACUCAAAAAAUAAUCAGUUAAUUAAAUUUUGAAUUUUUUUAAAGAUUAAACGAAUUUUAAAGGAGUCGCCACCUAAUUUUAAGAAAACUAGGAAACCAAUUAAAUAAUCUACGAAACCAAGAGAUUCUAGGUAAGGGGUUCAAGUUAUUUCGAAGGGAAGGGGUUAAGCAUCCUUUGAAAUCCACAAAUGUGGAUCCCGACUGAAUUCAUUUUUUUUCAAAUUGAGGAGGAGAAUAAAAUAAUGUACAAAUAUAAUAAACAUGCAAUAUACACAAGUAAUAAAGUAGACAAGUAAUAUGAGAAACAACUUAAUAUUUGUCUAUCGUCAACAAUAUACAUCAUAAUGAAUAUAACAUUCGAACUUUAUUCGAAUGACUUUGAUGAGAAGUGACUUCGGAGUACCUGUAAAGACACUUAGUAAAAGUGUUAGUACUAAAUAAAUAUGACUAAAAGUAAAUGAAUUAGACAACAACUUAAAAAUAAACAUCCGUCUUAUUAACAUGAGAGGCCUUAGAAAUCGACGGUAAUUUCUUCAUCGGCCAUUUUUAACAAAUAAAAUAUAUAAACUUAAACUAAAUUUCCGUCUUUUACAAUGUAAAGGCCUCCAAAAUCGACGGAGAGAUUUUCUCAUUGACCAUUUUUAACAAACAAAAAAUUAAAUCCACAAAUAAACCAAUGAUAACGCAAUGGUAAAAUGAAAUAAUAAUAAGCAAGAUUAUAUUCCGAUCCAAAGUAAUCAACGAAGUAAACCACAAAAACUAUCAAAAGACAAACCACAUAUAUAUAGAAACAAUCAUUAAAAGAUUAUUGGAAAAGAGUCUAAAAGUAACAUAAAAUUAACAACUAGAUAUGAUAGCUAAGUAAUUGAUUUUAACAUUAUAACAAUAACAAAAUAAUCAAAAGACGGUAAUAAGCAAAACAAAAUAGAACAUUGGAAAGUGGCAAACAAAUACAAAAAGAAACAUUUGAACAGUAGCUUGAGAUUUUUUUAUUUUUGUAAACAUGUUUAUCAUCAAAAUAUAUAUAUAUAUUAAAUAAUAACAAAUAAGGGUAAGCAAAUCUAGGAAAAUUAUACACCAACAACUAUAACGUUAAGUGGUCAAACAAAUGUCAGCAAUAAAAUAAACAAAAAUAAUAGUAAUAAAAAUAAAUAAAAUAAUGUAGAUCAAUGAACAGGAAAAGAGGUUAGCUAGUUAUAAAUGAAGUUUGACCGAAGUUUAAUCUUUCCGGUGAAAUCUGAAAUGAGAUAAUAUACACUAUUUUACUUGAACAAAAAUAAUAACAUGAAAAUAAUUCAAAUCAGUUUCAACAAUCAUAAUAAAUAAAUAAUAACCAACAAAGAGAACAAAAUAUCAGUAAUAAGAAUCAAACCCAACAAAAAUAAAAUAGAACAAAGGUAACAAAUGAAGUUUCAACUCAAGCAAAAAGCCAAAACAUUAAUAUCCACCGGAGAAGAUAAAAUAUUGUUGGAAAAAAUAUUGGCCGGAGUUUGAACUUCUUCGGCCAGAUCUGAAAGAAAAAUGAAAUGAAAGAGAAAUAGUUUAUUUACCGGAGUUGGAGUAUUCGGACUGAAUCUGGUCUUUUAAUGCAACUGAUUCCGCCAGAGAGUGUGGGAUUUGUUCGAGUCCUGUUCGGAGCUUUGAGCUUCUUCACCAUAGAUCUGCAAAAAAAAACAACAAUAAAUAUCGUAAAAGGGAAAGGGGAGGGGAAUGGUUCGAUUUCCUUGUUAUUUGCUCCGCCUGAGCCUCGAGCUCUGCCAGAAAUGGUGCUUCUGGUUGGCUGGGUGUUGUGGUUUGGUGGUUCUCCGGCAGUGAACUGGUGGAGCUCGAAAAAUGGGGUUUUGGACAGUGAUUCUCUCGUAGUAGUGAGGAGAAUAGAGGUGGUUAGUGAGAAGAGAGGGAUGGCCAGUGGGGUUUGGUGGUGACUGGCCGGAAAGUUCACCGGAAAGGCAAUGAACAGUAUAUAAAAAAAUAAAGUAAAAUAGCUCUGAAAAUUGAACCCCCAUUAUAAAAUUUAUCCACCCCCUUGACCUAAUAGACAAAUUAUUCUUUAUAUAGGGAGUUGAAAACUACAAUAUCACUAUUUUAAAAUGGUCGAUUAAAAUUAUCGGUCAAUAAAAUAUCUGUGUAUGAAAUAUUACCUAUAUCAUAAUAAAUUUUGGAUUGUGCAAAAUAUCAAAAUGAAUAUUAACAAAUGUAACAAGUAAAAAUGAAUAUUAAAAAAUAUAUAUAUAAUGAACGUAACUAAUGACAUGUAAAAUGCAAUUUUAAGAUUAACUGAUAAAAGAGAAAUCCUAAAUUUUGAUAAAUAAGGAUAGUCAUCGAUAAACUUAUUUAAAAUUAUAAAAAAUAUAUUUUAAACUAUUAAAUAAAUAAAACUUAAAAGUUACGAAUUUUGAAAAUGUUAGGCCAAAAUUGAGUGUCAACANNNNNNNNNNNNNNNNNNNNNNNNNNNNNNNNNNNNNNNNNNNNNNNNNNNNNNNNNNNNNNNNNNNNNNNNNNNNNNNNNNNNNNNNNNNNNNNNNNNNNNNNNNNNNNNNNNNNNNNNNNNNNNNNNNNNNNNNNNNNNNNNNNNNNNNNNNNNNNNNNNNNNNNNNNNNNNNNNNNNNNNNNNNNNNNNNNNNNNNNNNNNNNNNNNNNNNNNNNNNNNNNNNNNNNNNNNNNNNNNNNNNNNNNNNNNNNNNNNNNNNNNNNNNNNNNNNNNNNNNNNNNNNNNNNNNNNNNNNNNNNNNNNNNNNNNNNNNNNNNNNNNNNNNNNNNNNNNNNNNNNNNNNNNNNNNNNNNNNNNNNNNNNNNNNNNNNNNNNNNNNNNNNNNNNNNNNNNNNNNNNNNNNNNNNNNNNNNNNNNNNNNNNNNNNNNNNNNNNNNNNNNNNNNNNNNNNNNNNNNNNNNNNNNNNNNNNNNNNNNNNNNNNNNNNNNNNNNNNNNNNNNNNNNNNNNNNNNNNNNNNNNNNNNNNNNNNNNNNNNNNNNNNNNNNNNNNNNNNNNNNNNNNNNNNNNNNNNNNNNNNNNNNNNNNNNNNNNNNNNNNNNNNNNNNNNNNNNNNNNNNNNNNNNNNNNNNNNNNNNNNNNNNNNNNNNNNNNNNNNNNNNNNNNNNNNNNNNNNNNNNNNNNNNNNNNNNNNNNNNNNNNNNNNNNNNNNNNNNNNNNNNNNNNNNNNNNNNNNNNNNNNNNNNNNNNNNNNNNNNNNNNNNNNNNNNNNNNNNNNNNNNNNNNNNNNNNNNNNNNNNNNNNNNNNNNNNNNNNNNNNNNNNNNNNNNNNNNNNNNNNNNNNNNNNNNNNNNNNNNNNNNNNNNNNNNNNNNNNNNNNNNNNNNNNNNNNNNNNNNNNNNNNNNNNNNNNNNNNNNNNNNNNNNNNNNNNNNNNNNNNNNNNNNNNNNNNNNNNNNNNNNNNNNNNNNNNNNNNNNNNNNNNNNNNNNNNNNNNNNNNNNNNNNNNNNNNNNNNNNNNNNNNNNNNNNNNNNNNNNNNNNNNNNNNNNNNNNNNNNNNNNNNNNNNNNNNNNNNNNNNNNNNNNNNNNNNNNNNNNNNNNNNNNNNNNNNNNNNNNNNNNNNNNNNNNNNNNNNNNNNNNNNNNNNNNNNNNNNNNNNNNNNNNNNNNNNNNNNNNNNNNNNNNNNNNNNNNNNNNNNNNNNNNNNNNNNNNNNNNNNNNNNNNNNNNNNNNNNNNNNNNNNNNNNNNNNNNNNNNNNNNNNNNNNNNNNNNNNNNNNNNNAAUUCACAACAACCAUUGGACGCAUGACGUACCAAUAAAUCGCCGAUCCUUCUGGAAAAGGGUUGAGUAUAAAAAAGUCCGGCUGCGGUUCCGCAAAAUCGUUCUUUAAUAUACUAUACAUACAACAGAAAUAUCAUGAAAUGCAUCAACAAUUUAUAUACAAUUUAAACAAAUAAUGAAUAAAUAACAAGUAUAAUAUACAAAUAAUCAACAAAAUAUACAAGAUAUGAUGAACAACAUAAUAAAACAACAACUCCUCAAUUAGAAAAAAUAUACUCAUAAUGGUUAAAACCUCUGUAUCCCCAGCGGAGUCGCCAUUCUGUUUACAUCCCUACUCUAUUCGAAUAGGGCGAAACGUCACGGUGACUCAAAAAAUAAUCAAUUGAUUCAAUUUUGAAAGAAUUUUAAGAAUAAACGAAUUUUAAAGGAGUCGCCACCUAAUUUUAGGAAAAAAUAGGAAACCAUUUAAGUGAUCUACGAAACUAUUAGAUUCUAGGUAAGGGGUUCAAGUUAUUUCGAAGGGAAGGGGUUAAGCAUCCUUUGAAAUCCACAAAUGUGGAUCCCGACUGAAUUCAUUUUUUUUCAAAUUGAGGAGGAGAAUAAAAUAAUGUACAAAUAUAAUAAACAUGCAAUAUACACAAGUAAUAAAGUAGACAAGUAAUAUGAGAAACAACUUAAUAUUUGUCUAUCGUCAACAAUAUACAUCAUAAUGAAUAUAACAUUCGAACUUUAUUCGAAUGACUUUGAUGAGAAGUGACUUCGGAGUACCUGUAAAGACACUUAGUAAAAGUGUUAGUAAUAAAUAAAUAUGAAUAAAAAUAAGUGAAUUAAACAAUAACUUAAAAAUAAACAUCCGUCUUAUUAACAUGAGAGGCCUUAGAAAUCGACGGUAAUUUCUUCAUCGGCCAUUUUUAACAAAUAAAAUAUAUAAACUUAAACUAAAUUUUCGUCUUUUACAAUGUAAAGGCCUCCAAAAUCGACGGAGAGAUUUUCUCAUUGACCAUUUUUAACAAACAAAAAAUUAAAUCCACAAAUAAACCAAUGAUAACGCAAUGGUAAAAUGAAAUAAUAAUAAGCAAGAUUAUAUUCCGAUCCAAAGUAAUCAACGAAGUAAACCACAAAAACUAUCAAAAGACAAACCACAUAUAUAUAGAAACAAUCAUUAAAAGAUUAUUGGAAAAGAGUCUAAAAGUAACAUAAAAUUAACAACUAGAUAUGAUAGCUAAGUAAUUGAUUUUAACAUUAUAACAAUAACAAAAUAAUCAAAAGACGGUAAUAAGCAAAACAAAAUAGAACAUUGGAAAGUGGCAAACAAAUACAAAAAGAAACAUUUGAACAGUAGCUUGAGAUUUUUUUAUUUUUGUAAACAUGUUUAUCAUCAAAAUAUAUAUAUAUAUUAAAUAAUAACAAAUAAGGGUAAGCAAAUCUAGGAAAAUUAUACACCAACAACUAUAACGUUAAGUGGUCAAACAAAUGUCAGCAAUAAAAUAAACAAAAAUAAUAGUAAUAAAAAUAAAUAAAAUAAUGUAGAUCAAUGAACAGGAAAAGAGGUUAGCUAGUUAUAAAUGAAGUUUGACCGAAGUUUAAUCUUUCCGGUGAAAUCUGAAAUGAGAUAAUAUACACUAUUUUACUUGAACAAAAAUAAUAACAUGAAAAUAAUUCAAAUCAGUUUCAACAAUCAUAAUAAAUAAAUAAUAACCAACAAAGAGAACAAAAUAUCAGUAAUAAGAAUCAAACCCAACAAAAAUAAAAUAGAACAAAGGUAACAAAUGAAGUUUCAACUCAAGCAAAAAGCCAAAACAUUAAUAUCCACCGGAGAAGAUAAAAUAUUGUUGGAAAAAAUAUUGGCCGGAGUUUGAACUUCUUCGGCCAGAUCUGAAAGAAAAAUGAAAUGAAAGAGAAAUAGUUUAUUUACCGGAGUUGGAGUAUUCGGACUGAAUCUGGUCUUUUAAUGCAACUGAUUUCGCCAGAGAGUGUGGGAUUUGUUCGAGUCCUGUUCGGAGCUUUGAGCUUCUUCACCAUAGAUCUGCAAAAAAAACAACAAUAAAUAUCGUAAAAGGGAAAGGGGAGGGGAAUGGUUCGAUUUCCUUGUUAUUUGCUCCGCCUGAGCCUCGAGCUCUGCCAGAAAUGGUGCUUCUGGUUGGCUGGGUGUUGUGGUUUGGUGGUUCUCCGACAGUGAACUGGUGGAGCUCGAAAAAUGGGGUUUUGGACAGUGAUUCUCUCGUAGUAGUGAGGAGAAUAGAGGUGGUUAGUGAGAAGAGAGGGAUGGCCAGUGGGGUUUGGUGGUGACUGGCCGGAAAGUUCACCGGAAAGGCAAUGAACAGUAUAUAAAAAAAUAAAGUAAAAUAGCUCUGAAAAUUGAACCCCCAUUAUAAAAUUUAUCCACCCCCUUGACCUAAUAGACAAAUUAUUCUUUAUAUAGGGAGUUGAAAACUACAAUAUCACUAUUUUAAAAUGGUCGAUUAAAAUUAUCGGUCAAUAAAAUAUCUGUGUAUGAAAUAUUACCUAUAUCAUAAUAAAUUUUGGAUUGUGCAAAAUAUCAAAAUGAAUAUUAACAAAUGUAACAAAUAAAAAUGAGUAUUAAAAAAUAUAUAUAUAAUGAACGUAACUAAUGACAUGUAAAAUGCAAUUUUAAGAUUAACUGAUAAAAGAGAAAUCCUAAAUUUUGAUAAAUAAGGAUAGUCAUCGAUAAACUUAUUUAAAAAUAUAAAAAAUAUAUUUUAAACUAUUAAAUAAAUAAAACUUAAAAGUUACGAAUUUUGAAAAUGUUAGGCCAAAAUUGAGUGUCAACACUUAAUGGUAGAAAUAUAUAUGAACUGUGUAUCGUUGUGGCAAAGUUUAGAUAGGGUGAACUUUCGGUAUUUUUGGUUUGGUUUUAAGAACUUUGGUAUUUGGGUUUUUGAUUGUCUUUAUCGAAUAUCGAACCGUUGUUAGCUCGGUUCAGUUUUUUCUUGUUUGCUUCGGUUCAAUUUCGGUUUUUUGGUAUGAGCUUAGUAUACUUAAUUAUAUUCUGCUUAAAAUGGCAAAAAUCAAUUUGGGCGUGACGAUUUGUUAGAAACUAAAUAUCACAUCAAAAUAAAUUGAGUUAGGAUUUGAUGCCAAUGUUAUUUAGGAAAAUCUCAUGGUUAUUUUUCAAUUGACUUUCUUAAUUUCUUAUGAUGCUGUUUUGUGCCUAGAUGAAGUCAUAAAGGAUCACGUUAACCUUUUAUAGUGCUGAAAUAAAGAGAAAAACUUUUUUGCCUUCCAUUGGGACCAUGAUUCAUGUCUGUUUUUCCCACUGUUGGACAAACUCGACAUAAGUCAUGUAAAUACGUAGGAAGGCGUUUUUUUUUUCACGUAGUUAAUUAAAUUGACAUUAUGAACGUUAAUACUUCGUCAAGAUCUUAUGAGUUCUUUAUCCCAUUUGUCCUAGCCUUGGUGGACAGAGUUACCUAGUACAUGUUGUUGGUUGGAGGUGGCAGGUAUUCAUGCAAUUAGUUGAGCAUGCAAGCUAGCUCGGACACUACAAUUAUUAAAAAGAAAAAGAGAAGAACUUAUGAGUUCCUUAAAUUGACAUUGCUAACAUCUAUAUCUUGACAUGAGGCACACAAAUGCUAAAAGGUGAGAGGAAAAAAACAAGCAGUUAUCCUUAAUAUUUCAACAAAAGGAGUACAAGUUGGGAAUGAGUUCUUUGGAGCUACUAUAACAAUCUUCCACAUCUCAAAACGCUCAAAGUGAUUGCAAAAGAAGAUAGAAAUGAGAGGAAAAAAGUCUUGAAGUCUAGCUAAAUAAUGAGUUAGACCUGAAACUUGGUCUACCAUAGUAGUCUACCAAAUAGUUUUGUAUUUUUUGUUUAUCGAAAUAUAUCUUAAAUACGAACCAAUUAUUUUAAAAAAAAAAUCAAAAACGAAAACCAAUUGAAGAACCAAAUUUAUUCAGUUCGGUGCAACUUUUCAGUUUUAUGCCCACCCCUAAGUCUGAGAGGCAGUGUUAUCAAAGGCGCGCUUAAACCCUGAAGCGAGGCUCUAAAUGUGUUGAGUGCUUCGCCUCGCUUUAGGUGCGCUUCAGUGUCAUCAUCAAGGUUCUAAGACAAGCUUUUCCUUGCCAAUGAGCGUCUUAUGAAAUAGUGACACAAAGCAAUUGAUAUUUACUUUAUCAUUAAAAAAAAUUCAAUUUCUUUGGUCAUAUAUUUGCCAUUUAUGUUUAUUAUUAUUAGUCUCGGACUAAACAUAUAUAUUUGUAUUUUUUUCUCCCUUUGCGCCUUUUUUAAUCAAAACCCACGCUUUAUUUGCUCUUUACAUUUAAAGCCCCACGAACCUUAGAGCUUUUUAGCGCUUUUCGCCUUUGAUAACACUGCUGAGAGGAUGACACAACUUAAAGGAGCAUUAAGUUGAUAAAUGAAGGAGAAUUGUGCCUUGAACAAUAUCUUUAUUAAAAAAAAAUUCCAGCAAUCAUAGUAUCUAAAUUUGGCUAUAAGCUGAGGUUAGAGAGCUUUACUAAAUUAAUUUAUUUUCAUUGUAAAAAAUAAAGAUGUAUAAAUGGCACCGACAGAUUCUGAAAUCAGCUCAUAUGGAUGCUAGAACUUUGGAUUUGUAUGUUUCAAAUGUUCUCAUGCGCAAGAUAUGUGGUCUAAGGGGAGCAUUAGUAUAAAUUCACUUGGCCUAAUGAGAAGAUUGCUUGCUUAGAUGACCUGAGAUGAGCAAGAUGUUUGUUAGAUGGAUGGCAUGGUUUGAGUAGUAGGUACCGUGCUCCGAAAUAUGAACAGAUCACUGGGAGUUUUAAUGCACCUGUGAUGCCUAGGGGAAAAAGAGAAGUUCCAAUGAGAAGUAGUCCAAACAUUUUUAUAGUGGAUCUUGUUUGACAUUUUCACUUGUAAUGUAGGAAAUGGGUGCUUAUGCUGUUGGGUAAUUGCUUAUUGUUGUUUCAAUAUAAGUAUUCACUGAAAUGGUUUCUAUACUAACUCUCAUCUGUCUGCUAGUAUGAUGGCUUGAGCCGGAAUAUGAAUUGGCAGAUGCAUGAUCUUGAUGAAAGCAUUGUGUGCUUGGAGUCUCAUCUAAAGUCAAUUCGUUUGAUUGAUUUCAAAGGUGAAGAAAACGAGAUAAAACUACUAAAGUUUUUUCUGAAGAAUGCACCAGUGUUGGAAAAACUGACUAUUUUCUGGGUGAAGUAUCCUGAUAAAUCAGAAGAGGCUUUAGAGAAGGUUUUAAAGCUUCCUAAAACUUCUUCACAGGUUGUUCUGACAUUUCUCGAUGCCAAGCCCCAACCAAGUUCUCGUAAAUGUUACGAUAGAUAAUUCAAAAUGACUCGACCUGGGAGAUGGUUAUUCGAUUGUUGGAUGUACUCUUAUUGGGAAUUCUCUUGAAGAUACAAGCCAGAACCAAACUGUAUAAUAAAUUACAUUGAUCCGUGGUUUUUAUGGAACCGCUAUAGUUGUUUCAUGUUUCAUGUUUGGACUGCUAUAGAGUAGCUAAGAGGAAGGUCAAGUCUUAUUUCUACUGGAAAGUAUCAAGCAGGGUGUGGUUAACUUCCUUUAUAAGUGCCAAAGAAGCAAUUUUAGUGCUUCCUAAACACUGAUUUUUUGCAACUAUUGAUACUGUUUGCUCAGAAAUCAAUGUGUAUUUCAUAGAAACACGUCUUCAUAUCUCCUUUAAACUACAUGAAAUGCUUGCUAUUAUUAUGAGUUGUCGAGAUCCUAUUUUCAUCAGCUCAAUCUGCCAAGAGGUUUUUGUUUUUUGCUUCAUACUUCAACAUAUCAUCCUCUGAAGCAUCCUCAAUCGGUGUCUCGACGCUUAUUUGAUGUACAUAUAUACAAGUACUUGUAAAGCUCUGGGAAAUGGGUGACUAGAGCUUUUUACCACUUGAAUAGCAGAAAAUGACUUUAUUAAUUUUUUUUAGUUUCAAUAAAUUGUAAAAAAAAAUUCAAUUUCAAUUCAAACUCUAUCUAGAGCACUAUGUUUUAAAUAGUUUCAGGUCAAUAAAAAAUCUAACUUACAUUUUUGGGUUAAAAAUUAUCAUGUUAAUCCAAACCAAACAAACUCUAAUAAUUUUGGGGAAAAACGUUAUAUUUUCAUUCUUUUCUUUUUGAGCAACUUUCACAUAUAGCAAACAUAAAAAUCAUAUUUGUAUGCUAUAACUAUAGUUUGCAUAAUUGCGCUCUAUAGCAAACAUAAAUAUGUAUAUUUUGCUAUACACAUACAAAGAAAACAGUUGUAUAAUUCGCUAUACAUAUACAAAGAAAGCAUUUGUAUAAUUCGUUAUACAUAUACAAAAGAAAGCGCUUGUAUAAUCUGUUUCGGUAUACAUAUACAAAAGAUCAAUUGUAUAAUAUGUGUUUGUAUAAAGCGAGGAAGAGAGAAAAACAAAAGAAAACUGAGCAGGGGAAGAUUAUAUUUGUAUAAUCAUAAGUGUAUAUGACGAAAAUAUAUGCAUUUGUAUUUGUAUAUAUAAUUUUCUCUCGCUUUAUACAAACACAAACGCAAUGUAUACAUUUGUGUUUGUAUAAAGUGAGAGAGGCAAGUGAGAGUGGCGAGCGAGAUCUAGGAGAGGAGAGACAAGAGAACGAAAAUAUAUGUAUAUAUAUAAUUUUCUCUCGCUUCAUACAAACACAAACACAUUUUAUACAUUUGUGUUUGUAUAAAAGCGAGAGAGGUGAGCGAGACUGCCACCAAAACGAGAGAGGCGAGCGAGAUUCCACCAGGGAGAGAGGCAAAAAUAGCAAUAGUUUGUUAUAUGGUACAAUUAAAUCAAGGGCAAAUUACAGAAAUCACAUACUUUUAAGGCAAAAUUACAAUUUAUCCCUUAAAAGUUUAUAAUUACAGAAAUCCCUCAAACGGAUACAAUAAUAUAAACGUUGAUACAUUAAUCUGAUGCGCGAGAUACAUUAAUUAUUAAGUAAGAUACAUUACAUUUUAUAUAUUAUAUUAAAUAUCAAACUAUGUUUAUAGCAUUUAAUUUAAAUUAAUAGUUUGUUAUUAUAUACAAUUUUUCUUAUUUUUUUGCCAAAGAGGGAAAACCUUAUAGCAAAGUCCAACGACGGCCGUUUUCUUCUCUCUCCCAUCGGUUCAUACAGACCGGGACUGGUGACCUUUGUUGAGUUUUGCUAUCAGGGUGCCAUUUUUACCUAUCGUAUAUCUUCAUAACAAGGUAAAUUUGUUGGUAUUUUCAGCUUUCUACUCAUUCAAAUCGGAAUUUAUAAUGGAAGUAUCAACCAGAAAACCUAAGAUUUCCAGUACCAGUACAGGGAUUGAUAGAAUAAGCUCAUUGCCAGAUGAUGUACUUCACAACAUACUUUCAUAUCUCUUUAUUUUUUAUGUGGUUCAGUUGAGUAUGUUAUCGAAAAGAUGGAGAUAUGUAUGGACUACAAUGCCUUACUUGCACUUUGAUAUUGAUCAAUUUUAUCCACAACGGUAUUGUGAUUUUGUAAUAGCUGGGAGAUUUAAAGACUUCAUCAAUUGGGUAUUGAUUUCCCAAGGUGACUUUAAUAAACUUGUUCAGUUUCUUCUCUGUUUUGACAAUUUGUUUGAUGAGUCAACUAUUUUGCGAUGGAUUAAUCAUGUGACUACAAGGCGAAAUGUACAAGAACUUGUGUUAAAAUUUCGUCUUGGUAAGCCAUUUGAGUUACCGUAUUGUCUUGUAACGUAUCGUUGCAAGUUUUGAAACUACACUUGUCUGGGGAUGUACUUAAACUGCCUAAUUCUGUGGGAUUUCAUCAGCUGAAGUUGCUUCAUCUUGAUGCUAUUGCUCAAGUAUUCUCCUAAUCUGGAGGUUCUUAAAUUUUGGUCUGAUGAGGUAAAGGUUGUCUUCGUUUUCACUAAUUCUUCUGUAGAAAACCGUUUUUCUAUAUGGUAGUUGCUCAGAAGGACUUGUAAGUAAAACUAGAUAAGGUUGAUUAACAUGAAGGAUCUUUCAAGAACAGAAGGUGAGAAACUAGGAUUAAAAACUGACAUCACUAAAUCUUCCAAGGAAAAGUUGACUUAUAAUUGAUGCUACAUUAUCUCUAUUUUCGAGUAAUUUGACCCUAACAAGCAAAUUCCACUCACCAAAAAUGCUAAACAUGCCACAAUGAGAGGGAGAAUCUGCUAAUCAUCAAUUAUAAUUUUUAACACACACUUUGUAGUUGGCAUGUCAGUUUAAAAUCACAUUUGCUGCAUUGAUUUUAAUGUUUGAAUCAUAUUUACUUCAUGGAUUUUAAUGUUUGAAAUAGAUUUAAACUGUAAAGUAAUGUGGGGAAAAUCUGAGAAGAAUUGAGAUGAUAUUACAACUUUAGGGAGCAUUAAGUUGAUAAAUGGAGAAAUUUACACUGAGAUUCUAAAAUCAACUUAUUUCAAUGCUAGAACUUUGGAGAUGUGUUUCAAAUGUGUUUAUGCACAAAAUAUAUGGUCUAAAGGGAGCAGUAGUUUAAUCCUGCUGCAUACAAACAUAAAUCCUGGUGAGUGGAUAGGUCACUGGAUAAUUUAAUGCAUCAGUAGAACUUAUGGGAAAAGAAAAAUCCAAAGAGAAGUAAAUGAUCCAAGACAUUUUAGAAAUGAAUCCUGUUUGACAUUUCCACUUUUAAUCGAGGAAUGGUUGCCUACACUGCUGAAUGAUUAAUUAUUGCUAUUCAUUUAUUGCUGUUUUGAUAUAAGAGCUUACUAUGCCCGAUGAAGUGGUUUCUCUACUGACUCUCAACCGUCUGCUAGAGUGUAGACGAGAGUGUAAAUUGGCAGCUGCUUGAUCUCGAUGAAAGCAUUGUGUGCUUGGAAUCCCAUCUAAAGUCAAUUCAUUUGACUGGUUUCAAAGGUGAAGAAAACGAGAUAGAACUACUGAAGUUUUUCCUGAAGAAUGCACAAGUAUUGGAAAAACUGAUGAUUUUCUGGGAAAUGGACAUGGAUAAGUCAGAAGAAGCAUCAGAGGAAGUUUUGAACUUUCCUAGAACUUCUUCACACGUUGUUCUGACGUUUCUUGAUGCCAAGCCCAAGCAAAGAUCCAUAAGUGGUACAAUAGAUAUUCAAAAUGACUCGACCUAGGAGAGAAUUAUUCGAUUGUUGGAUGUCUCUUAUUGAGAUUUCUUUUAAAGAUUCAAGUCUGAACCAGACUAUAAGCAAUUUCAUUGGACUGUGAUGUUUACGGAACUUCUAUUGCUGUUCUGCGUUUAAUGUUUGAACUGCUAGAGAGUAACUAGGAAAGUCAUGUCUUUUUCCAAUGGGGAAGUAUCAUGCAGGAUACCAAAAUUCUGGUAUUGUUUUGCUUCGACACUUAAAGAUCCCCUGCUUUGCUAGAAGGGCACUUUGCUGAAGUCUUUAAAGCUGUUUGUGGCUUUAUGUUGAUGACGAUUUAAUGCAAGUUAUGAUAUUAUUGCUCAAGCAUUCUCCUAAUCUGGAGGUUCUUAAAUCAUGGCCUGAUUAGGUAAUGCUGCUCAUCAAUUAUUUUUUUUGGUAAUUCUGUAUAAAUUCUGUUAUAUGGUAGUUGGUGUUGCAAGUUUUGUUAAAAUAGAGUCUGAUUUACGCGAAAGGAUUCUUUGGAUGACAGGCUGAACCAUGUCUUGCAUACUGGAGUCCAAAACUCAGAACAGAUUGGCCCAACUGAUUUUAAACUCGGAUAAGUUAUGGAUAUAUACUAUUCGGCCAAUUAGUUUUCCAACAUGAUUGAAACAUACACUAACGUAUAUACUAUCAAUGUAUAUAUUUACCACGAGUCAUGUUUGAUCAGUACCCUCUUCUCGGACUCUCAUUCAACACUGCUUUACAAUUAUUAUUAUUAUUUACGUGUGAGGGAGGAGAGUAUGCAGUAAACAAAAAACACUACGAUCACUGAAUCACAUGUUAAAAUUCAAUUAUAAGACGAAUUGUAACAAUAGAACAAUAGUACUGGUGCAAAGUCAUGUGUACCCCAGUUGGGGUGACACAGUACACUAGUGAUAAUGUUGGUCAUUAGUUGCCACCUUAGUAUAAGGUCAAUGCAUAAAAAGACAUUGACAAUAUCUACCUAACGUGCAACUCCAACUAUUAUCCACUUUAGCCAUAUCACAACUCACAAGUUUGUACUAUUUUUUUUCAAAAAGAGAAGAAUUUUAGAGGAAAAGAACAAAGUAUAAAUUGCCCAAAGAUAGAAGUAUUAUUUUCACGAUUCGACUAUGAGACAUUGUUGAUAGGAUUUUCAAGAUUCGACUAUGAGACAUUGGAUUAAAGCAAAGAAACCCAAACAUUUCAUGCACCUAUAUAUAUCAGGAGUUCUUUAGUUGGUGGAAUAAGAAAUCAUUAACAAUCCGUGUGGAAUUGCCUUAUCCCAAAUUUGAUACAACUUUUAAAUCUGAGAUUAACAAUUCCUAGAUUUUUGUUUUUAUCUCACACUCUUAACAUUUCGAAAUUACUAAUUUCGAGAUAAGAAUAACAAAUUCUGUCACAUUUUCCUUUCUGAUCUUGAAAGCUUGUCUCCUAUAUAGUCUUUUAGAAGAGUCGAGAUUAAAAUCUAAAAUAAAAAUUUAUCCAAACUAUCUAGUUUAAACCAAACAUGUGUUUUAUAUUAUACAUCACACAUUUCAAUUUAGUACCAUAACCCAAUAUCUACUAAUACUAAUAAAAGUAUAUGUGAUAAAUAAUCUUAUUAUCAUUUAUUUUCGUAUUACAAUGUCAAGAUAAAUUUGUUCGACAAAAAAACAAACAAUCCCUUGUGUGGUUAAAAAAGUUCUUCAUUUUACUUCAACUACUUAGCAGCAAAUACAAAGUGUUUCUUCUUUCAUAUCAUGAAUAAAUGGCGUGUUUAAUUAGGAUUGUUGAAACUCCCAAAACAAGUUAUGGAAUGAAGAUAAUGUCUUUUCAAGUAACAAUAAAAAAAUAGAUAUAUUUGUUUUUAUCUCUACUAUGGUCAAUACAAGAAAUCGAUUGAUUCAUGACAUUUCAACUUAACCAAAAGUAUUUUAUUUUACCUAGAAUAAGUUACUUUGAAACCAAAUUUCCCUCACAUUCACAGAAUAUUGUACUCUAGCAUAAUCAUUUUUGAACUUGACUUUAGACUAUAAAUUACUAUACUAUGUUUUCGUGAUGUCUAAGAAAUGAAUCUCCAACUUCAUAUUCCUAGUACUUUUUUUCCGCACCCCACUUAUCAGGAAGAUCAAUAAUGUUUUCACCUGUCCUUCCAGGUGACUCGAACCCUCAACCUAUCGAUUAAUGUUGAAGGAUCAAACACUAAAACAAGCCUGAGUAUAUAUGAUGUCACUCAUAAUAUAUGCUAAACUAAGCUCUACUUAAACUGAAUAGAAGAAUCAAAUAAUAAACUAGUAUUAGAAGAGACUAGGGUCCCAGUUAAUUAAGUACAUAAAAAGAUUACUGCUAUAAUUAAGGGUGUACUUACCUGUAAACGUUACUAAUUACUUACGCCAUAAACGUACAUGCUGAUUAAUCAUGAAUCGAAUAUAAAUAUUACAUUAGUACUAGACUCUCACAUAAUAUAUAUAUAUAUAAAUUGUUUUCUCCCUUGUCCUAUCUUACGUUAUCACGACUUUAGUAAUGACCAAAUGUGAAUAUAAUCGUUUGGUACGAGGGAUAAGAAUAAAUAGUCCUGGGAUAAAAAUUUGGUGUCUAGUUUGGUUGUCAAAGUGAUGGGAUAAGUUAUCUCAUAUACAUAGUGGGAUAAGUUAUCCCAAGAUAACUAUCCUGAAUAAUUAAUCCUUGGAUAACUUGUUCCCAACUAAACGAACUAACCCUCCCUAACGGGUAGAGACAUGAAUCAUGAUCAAUUUACUUAAAAUGUUUCAACUUUAAUAUAAAUAAAAGAAAAACAAUAGACGAGAAAAAUCCACUAUUCAUCAUCAAUAUAAAUAAAUCAUGGUCUUUACUACAAAAUUAUAUCGAGCUAGCUAGCCAUACAUAAAUAAAGGGAAAAAACUCGACAUAACGAAUAGAAAAUCCACCAUAGCAACAUGCAGCUAGCUCACAAUAUAUAUAUGAUUCGUUGUGACAUUGUUAUUGUUGUUCCUUUAUAAAACUAUAUAAUAUAAUAAUUAUCAAUAAUAUAUAGGGGUAGCUAGGCACGUACUAUAUACAGAAUAUUGGUGGAUGUAAUAAUAAUAAUAAUAAUAUUAAUUCUAGAAAGAGGUGAAACAAUCAUGAUCAGAAGAGUUAGAAUCAUCACAAGGAGAAUGGUUAUGUCUACCUUCAUACGUAGUUAUUACCAUACGACAAUCUUCUGAUAAUCUUUCAACUCUCUUCUUCACUCUACAAUUACUAUGCGUACAUCGAUAGUAACUCCUGCAAUAACAAUAAGAAAAUGAGAAUAUAAGUAAUUUUCUUAUUUAUUUUAGUAUAUUUGGGAAGUAUUUACGUAUAUUUAUAUUUAAUCUGACCACACACAAUACUAUAAGAAAAGUGCGAGGUGGAUGAAAAACACUAUCAGCUACUUAUGAAAUUUGUUUUCUGUAUUUGCACCACCAAUAACCAAUGAUUUAGAUUAUUUACUUCCUUCCAUUCUUAUCGAUCAUGCUUUAGUUUAUAUCCUCUGUUUCAUAUUAUUUGAACUUUGUAUUAAAAUUAAGAUUUUCAAUUUACUUACUUACCCUUGAGAAAUGUCAAAUGCAUGCUUGCACUCCACGUUAAUCUCCAGGGGUAUACAUAUGCAUUUUCAAUUCAAUUCAGUCGCAAUACUCUCUUUAUUUCAUUUGACAUUUAUAUUAAAACAUAAUACAUUUUUUACUUAUUCAUUUUAAUAAAUUAAGAGAGUUUUAUUAUUUUUUCGUACUAUUUUAAUAUUAAAUAACUAUAUAAAAUAGUAAUAGUAGUAGUCAAAUUUUGAGCUAAUUAGUUUCAUAGUACCAUUAAUAAAGUUAAUUUAAUAAAAUACACUUCCAAUAAAAGAUUUCGUAAGAGCUGUAUCAAGUUAAUAUAUAGGAGACAAAUAAAAUGAAACACUCGGAGUACUAUUUUCAUCCAUUAAUUAAUUAAAGUAUGUGACCAUUUCAUCUAAAAACUUAAGUUAUUUUAAAAAAAUAUUUUUAUUAUUUAAUUAUAUUCUCGACUUAAUCAAUUUCUUAUUGAACUACGCAAAUUAUGAUCGGCACAGGGACUUUACAGUAAAUUACACCCCUGAUAGUCUUUCAUACUCCAAUUAUGUGAUUCGUUCAGCUCAUAUUGACAAAUUUAAAAAAUACUUGUGCAAUUUCAAUUUAUCAUAAAUAUCUUAACUAAGAAGUGAGAUGCAAUAUAUUCUUGGAUAAAUUGAUGAUUUUUUUUCUAAUUUUUUUUUAAUUUCUAAAAUAUAAGCAAAAGGUUCAACCGUUCCAGGUUAUUUGGAUGGGAACAAGUUAUCUCGAGAUUAAUUAUUCUGGGAUUAAUUAUCCUGGAAUAAGUUAUUCCAUCAUAUAUAUGUGAUAACUUAUCUCAUUACUAAGGUAUAAAUGGUGAAAUAAAUAAUCUAAAAAUUACCUAAUACCUCCAAAACACAGAUUAAAAUAAUACUACAUUUUAUUAUAAAAUUAUUAUACCAACACCUCACACCAAACGACUCUUUCAACUUUCAGUCUAUUUGUUGUAGGAGCCAUUAGACAAUAUUCACGCAAAGAUUAGUGUAACAUACAUCUCUUGAAAACAACCAUAUUUAGAAUUACUAAAUACUCUCUCCGUUUCUAUUUAGUUAGCCUAUAUUAUAUAAAUAGAAAACGAUUGAAGAAUUAAUAAGGAUAUAUUAAUUAAAUUAUACUACUAAUUGAUUUUUUCUUAAAUAUUAUACAAAACUGUAUCCUGACAACUAAAUUAUACUACUAGUAAUGCACUUUAACGACUUAAGUUAUUUAUAAGAUGAUAAUGCACCUCAACAUGAUAUCGAUAAACAUAUGUCACUGUCAUCCAUUAUCAGUAUAUAUAGACGGUCCAUUACCAAAUCUAUUACUUAACAUUUCUCAGGCUAUACAAAUAUAUAGGAAAUAUUAUUUUGAAUUUAAGGUAAUUAUUAGAACUAGGAAAAUAAGAGAAAAUACUGGAAGCAAAUAAAGCCAAAGUAGAAAAAUACAAAGCAAAAGGGGAAUUGGAGCAGAAAAAAGAAAUAUUCAUCAAUGGUUUAGAGGAGAAUUGAAGAUAUAUUAGAUGGUCCACAGGCUACUGUCAACAGGGUCUCUAUCCCACUUCUAGAUAUGGAGUAGAAGUAAUAAUACCAAUUUAUACAAUUUCUUGUACUUCCCAAAACUAUUUGAAAGCACACCAUAUAUAUCACUUUCACCAUUUUUAAUUUUAAAUUGUAGGUCCAAUAUAAUGUCCCGUGAAUCGGAGUUAGAAUUUUAAUUUUUAGAUUAAUUUUAAAAUUAUGGGCUUAAAUCACCAAAAGAACAAGCAUGUGUGAUCUUCUAGGGAGGGUUUAAAAAAAUACAAAAAAAAACAAACCAACAUUUCAAGUAUUGCUCCUUUCAUCUCAAGUCAUUUGUCGCACCUUCGGAAAAUAGUUUUCUCAAAUAAUUUGUUAUUAUAGGAGUUCAAUGCAUAAUUAAUUAUAUUUUUGUCAUUUUGUUAUUAUAGUUAUUAUUUUUAAAGGCUAUAAACAACUCAAUUAUAUGAUGAUAUUAUGAUUUGAGGAGAAGAGACUAAUAUCAAGUUAGUUCUAAAUUUAAGUUAUCCCAUUUAAUUAAAUAUUAAUAUAAAUAUACUAUUUGAAGAAAAACUACCCUAAAUUUAAUUGAUCUGGACUUCUAUCACGUGAUCCCAAAUUUUGUGCAACACGAUUUGAGAGAAAUUGAUGUGUAAAACGAUAUUUUCACAAAUAAUUAUUAAGUGGAUAGAAGGAAUUAAAGACAUAAUUCUCUUACUUAAUAGAUCCUCUCAUUUUGAUUUAAUUAGUUUAAUUCAUUUUUAAAAUGAGUUAAUAUGCCGUUUAGAUUGAUUUAUGAGAAAUUUUAUUUAAAUAUUUUUUUUAUUUAAUAUAUUUUUUAUAGUCAUAACAUUAGGAGAAAAGCUUAUUAGAUACUCAAUAACAAAUUAUAACAAAACUACUUUGAAUUUAAAAUUUAGUAAAAUCAAAGGGAUUAAAUUAUGACUCGACUUUUAAAUUAUUUCAUCCAAAUAAUAUCAAAUGGGUCAAUAACUUACCCAUUUAUUAAUUAAAUCAAUUUAGAAGAUGAAUUAGUACUCCUAAAGUUGUUUCGGAUAAAUGUACUUACAUAGUUACAUUCAACAAUCACAUAUAUUGCUAACAGUAACACACUCUUUUUUUUUUUCUUUUGUAAUGAGGCAUAUUAAGUAUUUAUAUUAUUUCUUUUUAUAACUAAAACAACAUUUAUACUCCUUCCGUCUCAAUUUAUAUGAUAGUUCAAAUUUUAAUAUUUUUGAAAAAUCAUUUACAUAUUUAGUAACUAUAUAAGAAAUACUAUAUAUCGCGGUUGCCAAAAUUAAGUUUUAAAAAAGAAGAAUGAAUCACAGUAAAAACAAAUAAAAUCCUUUACUCUCGAAAUUAUAACUAUAUCAUAUAAAGAUAUAAGGAGUACUUUGUAAGAUAAAUUUAAUCAACUCCUAUAAGGAAAAACAUGAGAAACUAGUAGUAAUUGAUUAUUAUUACUAUUAGGUACCUGGGAUGAAGGCUAUUCUUGACAACUUUCUGACCAUAUUUUCUCCAUUUAUAUCCAUCAUCAAGAACAUCAAUGUCACUCCUUGUUUGGAAACAAAAUCUUGGUUCUCUUAGCUUUCUUCUUAUCUUCACUUUUCCUUUGUCUGAAGAUGAACUCUUCCACCUACAUAUUUUGGAAAUGAAAUAAUGUAAUUGCUUGCUAGUAAAAUAAUAACUUGAUGAGCUCAUGACAACAAUAUAAAUUUAUAUAUACUUGUGCUAGCAAAUAAAUUAAACAAGUCUUAUCAUAUGUGAGUUGAAUUUUAUCAUGAUGUGGGUACAAAUAUAUUUAUAGUUGAGCAUUAUAAUAUGUAUAGUGGAUCUAUCUAGCACUUGUCCUUCUCAAAAUGCACAACACCACAUAUUAUUUAGUACAAACCAUAGUAUUUAUAUACACACUUUGAAAUAGUGUCAUUAUUAAAGAGCAAGAGAAACAUUUCAAGAAAACAUGAUAGCAAAUAUCUAUCUGCAUGAAUGCCUUGCUAGAUCUCUUUUCAGGUUUUAAUGUAAAUCAUGAAGAAGCUUCUAGAGAGGUAGUACUAAUAAAUAGUGGAGUUGAAAAUAAAGUAAAGACUUUUUUUUCCUUCCAAGUCUUUGUCUGAAACUCCUUAGUCUGAUUAAUUUUGGUACGCGUGGUGAAAAGUUCAUAGUCUGACCAACUCCAAUUCACCUUGUUUAAUUAAAUCGCACUAUAAAAGUGCUCUAUAUUAGGAAGAGCAAUUCAUUCCCAAGACUCUGCACUCUAAUUAAGAGUGAGAAAAUCUUUGUCUCCGAUCUAAUUUCUCAGAUUUUGAUAGAAUGAAUUAAGCAUAAAAUAGUGAGGUUAAUUACCCUUUUCUUAAAUUUAAAAAAAAAAAAAGAAUUGAAGAAGAAGAAGUAUGCAUGAAUAGUUGUGAGAAGAGUGAAUAGAUCACGAUCUCCAUCCCUCCUUUCUUUAGUUUCCCCUUUUGUUGAAACCAAAAUAAAUCAAAUGUUAGAUGAAAUUAAGAUAUCUCACUUCUAUAUUAUAUUAUAUAAAAUAAAAUAAAAUAACAAGCCGCAAUUCAUAGCGCGAGAAUCGAUUUAACAUUUUGAAAAUAAAUUAGUAGGAGUAAAUGUUAUAGAGAAAUAAUACCAUGAAUUGUUACCCUCACUGGCAUUACCGCUGCAAUUUUCGUCAUUUAUACCCUUGGGAUCUAGUGUUUCCACCUAUAUGUAAAAUUAAACAAAAAGAAAGAAAUUAUUACAAAGAAUAAUUUGAGAAACCCUAAAAGAGAUCCCAAUAUAUUUUUUGUGAUGGUUGUUAUCUUUCACCAGCACAAAUCUACGAUAAAGUUGUAAAUCAUCCGAAUUUACCUGUUCGUUGUUGUUCCAAGAAGGUCUAUUGACAAGUAAUUCAUUGUGGCUAAACCCUAAACCACCACCACCACCACCAACGUUAUUGGAAGCGCCAGCCGCAGCAGCGUUUGUAUUGAUGGCGGCGGAUGGCGUAACACUUACGCUGGCGGCGGCGGCGGCGGCGGCGGCAGCAGCUUGAAGAGACUGAGAAGAUUGUGAUGAAGGAGCUAAGAAGCUCAAGUUUUGAUCUGCAAAGUGUAUAAAUCCCAAUUCAUGAUGAACAUGAUUUGGUGCUGCUGCUGAGGAUGAUGAUGAAAAAGAUACUUGUAAAUUGUAAUUGUUUAACUGAUUUCUUUCUUCACUACCCCUUUCCAUUAAUUCCUCUCACUUUUUUUUUUCUAAUAAUAUUCCAAAGUACUUUUGUUGUUGAUGCUUCUUUUCAACAAUUUCUUCCUUUGCUAGUUCUUCUUCUUCUUCUUGUUGAUGAUGUUGUGAUGGUGAAUUAAUUAUUGAGGGAUGUAUUUUGUGAAUUGCAUGUAUUCGUACUCCGUGUGGGGUUUCAUUUUCAAGUAGAAUGAUGUGUUUUCUUUCACCAACAUAUAUAUUGGGAAUAUAUAUAUCUGGUCAACUGGUAAACGCUACUCCCUCCGUCCCAUUUUAUAUGUCAUUCCUUUCAAUAAAUAAUUGGUCCAUAAUACUUGUCAUUUCAUAAAAUCAAUGCAUAAAUUACCAUAUUCUUCCUUGUUUAUCCUUGUGAGUUAUUAGCCUUGAAAAUAUACAUUUGACCAACUUAGAAAAGCAAAGUAAAUGAUUCAUGUUCAUUGGUUAAAUUAAUUAAUCAAAAUAAAUUAAUUCAUAUUCAUUAAUUGAAAACUUAAGUUCCAAAAAAUUUAAAUAAGGGUACAAGGGUAAAGUUACAUCAUUUUUUAAUGCAAAUGCAAAUUAAAAAGGUGACAUAUAAAAUGAGAAAGAGGAAGUAUAAGGAAUGUAGAUCAAAUAUUAAAUUAAUAUAUAUUGUAAUAUUCUUUUAUUAAUUUGACACAGAGUUUUAAGAAAAAGAAUUUCUGAAAUUUAUGGUUUAAAACAAGCCAGAAAUAAUUGUGUGUCAGUGUAAUGUGUUUGGUAUGAAGGAACAAUUUUACAUGAAAAAUGUUUUCUUAAAAAACAAGUUGGUUUAGUGUUUUGUAAGUAAAAAAAUAUUAUCCCAAGAACAUUUAUAUGUAAUCUAGUAAAAUACUAUAGAGGGAAAAGUGGGUAGGGAGUGGGGCCUCAGGGAUGAAGGGGGUGGAAUGGUCAAGGGGUAGGGAGUUGGGAGCAUGGGUGGAUGGGGAGCAUAUAACAAACAUAGAAUAUCAUUUAUACAACUUGUUUUUUUUUUUUGAUGAACUAUAAAACAACUUGUUUUUCAUACUUCCAUUAAGAAAGUCAUUUUCAUGAUUUUUAAGGAAUUUAAUUUUCUAAAGAAAAGAUUUUUCAAAAAAUUUGUCCAACCAGACAUAUAAAAAUAAGAAAAUAGUUUGUAAAAAAUGUUUUCUUACAUACCAAACAGACAUUAAAUUAUCUCAUUAGGUUAAAAUGAACAUUUAAGUUAAAUUAUUACUAAGUAUAAAAAUAUAUAUUAUCUUUUGAGACCAACUAAAAAAGAAAGUACAUGAGGUAAAUUAAGACAAAGAAAAUAGUAAUACAAUAAUUGAGUUCACAAAUUAAAUUUCUAUAUAUGUUUAAUUAAUGAAUUGUUUUAAUACGUAUCUUGUUUGUGUUAUAUAUGUAUACUCCAAUAUCCAAUUCUGGGCAUGCCUCUUAAUGAGUAAAAAUACUCAUGUUCAAUUUUUAAUAUCAAGACAAUAGAUGUAUAAUAUUUGCCAAUAUUUAUGUCUCACUUAAUCAUCAUUGAGGAAUAUAUAUUCACAGUUUUUCUAAAUUACUUAGUCAUGAUAAAUUAAUAUGAUUUGAUAUAAAUAUCAAAUGCAGAAUAAUAUAUAUAAUUAAAAUUUAUUUGCAGAAAAUCAUACUGCAAAAAACAAAACGACUAAUCAUAUUAUUCUACAAUAAUUAAAUGAUAAUUGUCGUAAGAAUAUAUAUUAAUUAAAUAAUUUACAUGGUAGGGUCCGUGUCGAAACCCCGCCACCCAAAACUCAUUUAAUAUAAAAGAAAAUUGCUAUGUUUAAACAUACACUAUAUCAUCUAUUUAUUGGAUUGCUUUACCACAAGACGUAUAUAAAAAUGCGAUCUUGAAAUUAAAUUAAAAACUCUAAACUUUCAUACGAGUCAAUUUGUUUUAAGGAAGUAAAAUUAUCUCAAAUACAAUUUGAAUUUGACUGAUCCUAUAUUUUAUAGAAAUAUUAGUAUUUAGAGCCAUGUGUAAUCAUAAAUGAUAAAGAAAAUUGAUAAGUUGAACCAUAUUGUUUGGCUCUCGGUGGAGUUUGAUAACAACAAUUACUUUAAGACUAAGUAUAUUUUAAAAUAAUCAUUGUUAUUGACUUAUUAUCCACUAAACGGUUUGUUAAGCAAAAUAAAAUCUGGAGUUUAAGUUAUAAGAAACUUUAUAACCACGAAUUGUUUCAGUACAUCUUUGACAAUUGCAACAAAAAUAUUUAUUGGCCCAAUUUCAAGUUGUGACAAAAAAAAAUUCUCAUUUUGGUGUUACGGCGAAACAUUAUCAUAUUUAUCUUAUUUCAUAUUUAUCUUAUUUGUUUUCUUGUCUUCGAUACAUAAGUAGAAAAUAUCAUUUUGAAAAUGAUUAUAUGUAAUUUAGUCAAACACAAUGAAGGUGGGGGGAUAACGUGUGGGAGUGAUGGAGAUGAGACUACAUAUGGCGGUGCAUGGAGUCGGGGUAGGAUGUGUUCGAGAGGAUAGAUAAGAUAUAAUUAGUAUAGAAUGUCACUUAUGCAAUAACCUGUGAUCUCUAAUUUCUCUAAAGAAGAUAGAUAUGCUGAAACGGGUGCUAGCUUGAAAAUCGUCGCAGAAUGAAGUAAGCCUUUAAAAUAAGAAUAUAUAUAUAUAUAAAAAAUACCAUUCACUGUAUUGUUUAACGACAAGCUCAGCUGGACCACUAUGGUUAUUAGAAAUGGAUAUAAAUUCCCUAAUCAUUUUCUUAAAGAGGAAAAAACAAGAUGCACGGUAGCUACAUAUAUUCAAAACUUCACUGUAAUAGUGUGCAUCAAUAUUAUGAGUUGAUAAAAAUAAUAAAAUAUGAUUUAGCUAGCUAGGAUUGAAUUAUGAUCGCAUGGGUGGUUGCACUUGCUUGUACUAGCAGUACCACCGCCCUUUGAUGCUUUUCAUGGGGCACUAAUAUUUUUUUAAUUUUUUCCAAUUUUUCAAGAUAAAUAUACAUAUAUAUACAUGAUUUUUUCUGAAGUUAAUAGGUGCACGUACACCUCACAUAUACAUGUAGGUCUGCAUCUGGUUAUAAAGAGAUAUUAUUAUACUAACAUAAUAUGAAAAUUAGUUCAAUAGAAAAAUUGAUUGUUGUUAUAAAGAACGGUUGUUAUAGAGGAUGUGACUGUAUCAAUACUCAAAAGUAUAAAUACAUAUAUAGUAUUUUCAUUAUUUUAAAUUGACUAUUUUUUUAACAAGUUCAAUAUUGCCCCCGAAUUUUUUUUCGUAUAUUUGAAGCAAAUAAUGUUUUUAUUUUGACCUAAUUAUAUUGAAAGUUAGAAAUUGAAAACUUAUGUUUAACUAUAUAAAUCAUAUACCUAAUUAAGUCACAACUCCUAUUAGGGUGUUUGGCUUAAUCAGACAUUUGUCUCUAUACUACACAACUUUUGUAUAACAAUUAUAACAUCGAUGACUAAUAGACUCUUCUUUUAAUUUGCUCUUUCUUUAUUGACUUUUGAUUAGGAUAGGUCCAUAAGGAAUAUUGUACAAAAUGAAAAAAGGUAAGGUUGCAAUCUUAAGAUAACCUCGUCUAUAAGAUUUCAAAACAAAAAGUAAGAGAAAAAUAAACUUUCCUUUGAAAAAAUAAUGGACAAGGGUUUGAAAAAUAUCCCAACUUUGGUUUGUUGCGAUACUAAACUUUCAUAAGGACCUAUUACCUCCCUAGACUAUUUAAUACCGUAUUUUUUACCCCCUGAACUAUUUAAUAGUGUAUUUUAAAGGUAUAUAUAUGUCCACGUGGACACAUUAUUAUUUAUAAUUUUGCAUUAUUUUUUAUGUCCACGUGGGCAAAUAUAUAUGUUUAAGAUACGGUAUUAAAUAGUCUAGGGAGGUAAUAGGUCCUCAUGAAAGUUUAGUAUCGCAACAGCAAAUCCGACCAAAGUUGGGAUAUGUUUCAGACACUUAGUCCAAAAAAUAACAAGGAAAAUGAAGUAAGAGAAAAAAAUAAACUUUCCUUUGAAAAGAAUAGCAAUUAACAAGAAAACAAUAGCAUCUAGUCGAAGGUAGGUCAAUUGAUUUUAUAACCCAAGAAAAUGGUCAAAUGUCCCCCUCAACGUAUAUUCGGAUCGGAUUUUCAACUACACACUUAAACUUUACGGGAGUCCUAUCACCCCCUGUACUAUUUAAAACUGAAAUAAUUACCUCCCUGAAUGUUUAGCUGGCAUAGUGAGUGUAUUUCACUCUGUUUGGGUGAGUGAGUAUCAAAAUCUAUUAUUAAAGCUUUAUUUUUAAUAUCUCUUUCAAUAAAUAUAUGCAUUUUUAAUUAUUUAUUUUUCUUAUUUGUUUUCUUUCUUCUCCAUCAAUAUAAACAAAUCUCUCAAUCUUUCACCACCUCUAAGUCUUGCUGCCACCACCAUCUUCACCGGAUUCACUAUUGUUGAUUCCAAACAAAUUUUCAAACUCAUAUAAAACUCUUGCAAAACCAAUCAACCUAAAUCAAUUGAGAUAAAUUUACAUAUAUUUAUAUCACCCCAAGAUACUUUGGAUCUGAUUUGAGAAAAAUCAAUAUGGGUUUACUUUAAAUCCGAUUGGACCAACCGAAAAAAUAUUUUUUUUUACUAAUAGAUCCUUUAAUUAUCUAUAUCAAAUCUCAAUCAAUCAACUAUAUCUCAAAAAUUGUCGCUAUUAAUCUUGUUAAUCCAUCAACUGUCGUAGAAUCUGUCUCUUCCUCUUUGAAAUUAUCGUCGCUAUAGAUGAUGAUGUGGAAGACAUCGUAGGAUCCUCCUCCUCAUCUUCCUUGAGAGGAUUGCUUAUCUUCGGUGACCACCAUUAAUGACAAUAUUCCGUCAUAUUCAUCUUCUCUUCCCCCCUUCACUUUUUUUUAAUUUGAUUUUUAGGUUUCAAAUGAGCAAAACCUGAAUAUCUCACCUUUCUUCCUUAAAGACCCAAUUUCAUGGACUUAUGGUGUUCUAGUGAUGGUGAAAAUAUUUUGGGUGUUUGAAGGGAUGGGUAAGAAUAUAGAAGAAAAGGGUAAACAAAUAUAAAAAUUGAAAAAAUAAUAAUUUGAUGAUGUGUCAAACGCGUGAAACUCACAUGCCACCAUAGAUCUAAAAAAUAUAAUUUGAUGAUGUGUCAAACGCGUGGAAACUCACAUGCCACCAUAGAUCUAAAAAAUAUAAUUUGAUGAUGUGUCAAACGCGUGAAACUCACAUGCCACCAUAGAUCUAAAAAAUAAUAAUUUGAUGAUGUGUCAAACGCGUGAAACUCACAUGCCACCAUAGAUCUAAAAAAUAUAAUUUGAUGAUGUGUCAAACGCGUGGAAACUCACAUGCCACCAUAGAUCUAAAAAAUAAUAAUUUGAUGAAUGUGUCAAACGACGUGAAACUCACAUGCCACCAUAGAUCUAAAAAAUAAUAAUUUGAUGAUGUGUCAAACGCGUGAAACUCACAUGCCACCAUAGAUCUAAAAAAUAAUAAUUUGAUGAUGUGUCAAACGCGUGGAAACUCACAUGCCACCAUAGAUCUAAAAAAUAUAAUUUGAUGAUGUGUCAAACGCGUGAAACUCACAUGCCACCAUAGAUCUAAAAAAUAAUAAUUUGAUGAAUGUGUCAAACGACGUGAAACUCACAUGCCACCAUAGAUCUAAAAAAUAUAAUUUGAUGAUGUGUCAAACGCGUGGAAACUCACAUGCCACCUUAGAUCUAGUUAUGGCUUUUUAAGGGUAUAAUUAUUUUAUUUUUAAAUAGUUCGGGGGGAGGGGGGGAGGGGGGGUGAUAGAACUCCCGUAAAGUUUAAUUAUGUAGUUGGAAAUCCGAUUAUACAUGAGGAGGCAUUUGACCAUUUUUUCUUUAUAACCCUUUAUAAAUUUAUCUUUAAUUUUAUAUUUGUUUUUAAUUCAAAAUUUUUAUUUUUCUUCAUAAGGAAUCGAAAAAUAACAGUACUAAAUAGAUAUUUGUUAAGUCAUUUUCUUCUCUUUAAAAUUGUAAAAAAUAAAAAUAAAAACAAAAACAUAAAAAUAUGUGAUUCUCUCAAAUAAAUUUUUGAGCAGAGACAAUAAAACACAAAGUGAUUCUUUCUAUUUGUUCUAAUUUUGAUAGACAGAGUGACCUAGUAUCCGUUGGUAGUGGCAGGUAGCAAGUGGCAAGUAUCCCAUAAAAUUAUUUGAGGUGCGCUAAAGCUUAAUCCAUACAUCACGAUCACAUAAAAAAAUAAAAAAUUUAUAACCUGUCCCUUUUUCUCUUGCUCAUUUUAGAAAUAUCACUUCUCUUGAAAGUUUUUCUUUUAUAUUUAAUUUCUUAAUCUUGUUUAAAUCAAUAUACCAAUAGAGCACCGUCACAACUACUCAUGUUGAUUUCUAUAGAGUAUCGACAGGUUGAUCAAUUUUAUCAAUACAUCUACAUCUACACCUACACCUAUAUCUACAAUAAUGUAAUAUCUAAUGAUUGAUAAUAUUUGAGAUCAUAUAUUUUCUUAAAAGAAAUUAUUACGUUGGGGGAUGGGGGAGGUACUCCGACUCAAAAUACUAGUCGGAUUUUUUUAUUUACAAGCCCCUUAAAAAUAUUAAUUUGAAGGGAUGUUUUAUUAAUUAUUUUAUCCUUAUUUAUGUUUUAAUAUAUAAUUUCUCUUCGUUAAAUAUUAUUCAAUUUAUAUGUUAUAAUUGAGAUGUUUAAUUAUAGUCUUCACGAACAAUUACUACAGAGGAUAAAACGAAAAAAAUAUAGUUAAUUUUUCUGAAACUUCUAAAAUAACAAGUAUUUUGAGACAUGUGUUUUUAAUUAGUAAGGUUGACAAGUACAUGGAGUAUAAGUUUUACUUUGGGGGAGUGGGGGGGUUGGUGUCGGUAUGAACAAAAAUGUUUUCCACUGAAAAAAAAUUCUUGAAAAAUUAUUUCCAGGAAAAUAAGUGGUUUUAUACUAUUUCCUUAUGUUCGGUAUGUAAAUAGAAAAAGUACUAUUCUUAUAGUAUUUAUAUAUAUAAUCUAGACAAAUAGUAUAGACGUAGUGGUGAAGAUGAGGUAUACUGAUGGAGGGUGGGAGGACAAUCAACGCGGAAUGUUAUUUCUCCAACUUAUUUUCUCUAUUCUUACUAGGGAGGUCAUUUUCCUCAAUGUUAAGAAACUUGUUUUUCUAAAGAAAAUAUUUUAAUUUUUUUUUACCAACUGAACAUAAAAAGAUGGAUAAAUAUAUUUAGAUUCUCCUUCUAUCGCAAAUUGAAACAAAGGUAUAAAUUGAUUUAACAUCUAGUAGAAUUUGGAACAUGUUGUAUUAUGAGAGUAAUGAUUACUAAUGAUUUAAUUAGUCACAAUUUUCUUCUUUGAAGAAUUAAUCUAUCUUCUGAUCAUAUUGAACAUCUGGAUUUUUGCUUUGUUUAUUUGUGAAAAUUAUCAAAUAAUCGAAGAUGAAAAGGAAGACUUGAGUCGUGAAGGGAUAAAGCAAAAAUGAAUAUUUAACAAAGUAGUGAAAAUCUAUAAACUAUAGGCAGUAAAUUUCAUCAAUUAAAGAAGCAAAUCAAACAAAAUUUUACCACAACUAAUAAUUUGAGAUAGAAGGAGAAUUAAUUCGUUUUAUUUAUACAUAUUCAGUUGAUUUCUUAACACAAAAUAUAAAUACAUGAUUUCGAUCAAAACUCUUAGACUAUAUCGAACUUACCUAUUUUAACCCCUCCACACCCCACACCCCAUAAACCCCCACCCAAAUUGUGACAUGACCCUAAACUUUAUUUUGGUGCCUUGUGCCUCCAGGUGCAAAUGGUUUUAGGCGUGAAAUUUAAUAUGAUAUAUUCCAUCUCCAUGAUUGGAUAUUGUUGUCUCCUUUCUAACAAAUACCCUGCCUAUCUGGUUGGUUCAUAUGUAAAGUUUGUUACAUAAUUUAUAUCUUAAUAUCAAACAUCAUUACACAAAUCAAAUAUACCAAAUAAAAUUUACUUGUGUUGCUUAAUUUUAUCAAUGGUCGGUAAUUCAAAGUUAAAAAUUCGUUGUGGAUCAGUUUUCUUCAAUUACUUCUUAUUCUUAUAAUGCGAAAAAUAAAAGUUCAUCACUAGUUAGGAAGAAUAUUUUUGAAUUGUUCUUUAUUUGACUUAUAACGAGCUAAUAAAAGAGAAUAAUUCCGCGCACAUAAAACUGGCUGAUUUGCAUAACUGCGAUAGGUGUAGAUUUAAAUUGAGUAAAUUUUAGGUUUAGCAAACAUAAAAAUUAUAUUUGUGUGUUAUAACUAUAGUUUGUAUAAUUGCGCUCCAUAUCAAACUUUAUGUUUGCUAUGGAGCAUCAGAUUUGUAUAAAUCCCUGCUAGUCUCUUGAUUCAAUUGUAUAUAUGUAACUACUGUGUAUAUGUAUCAAUGAUUGUGUUUGUAUAUCUACAUAAAAUUUGAAUUUGUAUACAAUUGAAUCGAAAUAAAAUAUUUAUAUAUCAAAUCUUUCUCUCUCUCGCUUUAUACAACACAAAUUAUACAUUGUAAUUUGUAUAAUUUGUUUUUGUAUAAAGCGACAAAUAGAGAAAGGCAAAAGAGAACUAGUAGGGGAAGAUCUGUAUUUGUAUAAUUAUAAGUGUGUAGGACGAAAAUAUAUGUAUUUGCAUUUGUAUAUACAGUUUUCUCUCGCUUUAUACAAACACAAACACAAUUUAUACAUUUGUGUUUGUAUAAAGUGAGAGAGGCGAGGGAGUGUGACGAGCGAGAUCUGGGAGAGUGGCGAGCGAGAUUCGCUGGGAGAGAGGCAAAUGACAAUUGUUUGCUACGAAUUACAAUUAAAUGAAACUGUGGUUAUAUCAUUUAAUUUGAAUUAAUAAUUUGUUAUUUUAUACAAUUUUCUCAUUUAAAUUUCAUCAUGACCUAAUUGUCUUUCCAUCACAAAUUCAUUACAAGUAAUCCAGUUUUGACACAAAUCAAAUAAUUUAGAGGUUAAGUUAAAUCCACUAUAACUAUAUUCUUUCAAAUCUUUUUUUAUAAUCAAAUAAUUAAGCUAAUAAUGUAAAAUAUCUUGAUGUUACUAAUUAGUUGUAUGUGAAUGGGGUGUGGCUGAAUCAAAGGAAAAAAUUAAUUUCUUGAAAGCAAUGAGUAGUAGGUAGGGUCCAUCAGAAUUUUCUUACAUGUCAAAAGAUUGUAAUGAGUAUUAGACAGUGGAAAAGGAAUGAACGAACACGAUAACCCUUCCUAUCUAAUCCUGCCAAAUUUGAUUCCAUUAAAAUCUAUACCAAUUUUCUAUCGAUUUCAAAUUUUAUACCUCGUCAGUAUAGAUAAUUUCUUAUAAAAAAAGAUAGUAUCCAUAUGACCACAGUAGGUCUCUUUUUUAAUGGGGGAUUCGAAAUAUAUAUAUAUAUAUGGAAAAUGUAUAAGUACCCUCCAAUCUAUGCCCGAAAUCUCAGAGACACACUUAUAUUAUACUAAGGUCCUAUUACCCUCCGAACUUAUUUUAUAAAUAAUUUUCUAUCCCUUUUCGGCCUACGUAGCACUAUCUUCUGAGUCCAGCGCGUGUUGACAAUUUUUUCAUUGAUAGUGUCACGUAGUACGAAAAGGGGUAAAAAAUUAUUUAUAAAAUAAGUUCGAAGGUAAUAGGACUUUAGUAUAAUAUAAGUGUGUCUCUGAAAUUUCGGACAUAGGUUGGAGGUACUUAUGCAUUUUUCAUUAUAUAUAUAUAUUUAUUACAUUUAUACUAUAUAAUAAGUAACAGAGAUUUGCCACCAAUUCAAUCGUCGUAUAUGUUCCAUGACAGAAGAUUAAAAUCAUCAAGAAAUCCGUUACUUAUAAAUAUUUAUUCACAAACCAUUUUUUAUUCCUUGUUAAGUGGAUAAAUAUAAGAUUACACCGCACAGUAAUUUACUAAUCCCUGUAUUUCAACUUUUUGUCUUAUUUUUCAUUUAAAUUAGUUUUAAAAAAUGUCAUUUUCCUUGCAAUUCUUUAUUUCAAAUUCUCCACGUGACAUAUUUCAUAUCAUAAAAUUAAAGAAUAUUUUGGUACAUUUUACAUAUUUUUUGUUUCAAAUCACAAGACUCAAAAAAAAAUAUUUUUUACCUUGAUUUUCUUAAAUUUCGUGUCAAAUCAAAAUAGGACAAACAAAUUAGAAAUGAAAAGGAAUAUAAAUAUGAGAAUGUAAAGAUUAAUUAUGUCCUAAAUUUUACUGCGUCGGUGUAUACUCUGGGUGCAAAUGUCUCCCUAGUGUGCUUUAUGUUGGAUAAAAGUAAAAUUACGGUACCGAUAAAGAUUGUAAUGAAGUGGUUCGUAUUCAUUUAUUUUUAACUAAAUUUUUUGAGUUCAAGUCCUUCCUAGAUAUAAAAUUGUCUUUAUUAAAGAGCUUUUUACUUCCUCCCCAACUAAUAUUGAACUUUUCAGUAUAAACUUAAAUUUAUUCGAACUUUAAUACAAAUAACAGAACACCGACGAAGGAAAAAAAGUGAAGCUAGGGAUAGCUAGAAAGGUAGCUAAUAAGUAAUACUACAAAUGUAGAGUGACGUAAAUAGGGCACUUUUUCCUUUAGUUUUGCCUUCUCUCUUGGCCUUCCACUCAACACUCGAUCACCUUAGUUUCUUCUUUAAUUUCAUAUUUAUCGAUACAUGUCCCUCUAUUUGACUCUCCACACGAUCUUUCGUCACCACAUAUGAUCAUCUUAUGUUCCCUUUUCACCUUGCAAAGAUAGGAAGAUAGAGGGUCGGGUAAGGGUGAACAAAAUCGAAUUGAAAAUUGAAUCAAAUCAUGAAUUGAGUUAAAUCAGAAACUAAAAAUUACUAGUGUUUGGGUUGACUUAGUUAGAUAUUGAAAAAAAAUCUGAUUAUACUUGGAUUGGUCUGGUUUUAACUAAAAAAAGUCAAUUCGAGAUCGAACUAACUUGAUAUUAUAUAUAUUUUUUAAGAAAAUUAUUUUAUAGAUAAAAGUAUUUAUUUUGAUAUAAUUUCUAAAUAUUUCUUAUAUUUUUUUAUAGUUUUUAUCGUUUAACAUAUUAUUUCAUGUUUGAGAUUUAAAAUUUUGAAUGGUCCAAUAAAGAUUAUAAUCUAUAGAUAUUAGUAACCCUACUAAAGCUCAAAUCAAUACUAAUACUAACAACAACAAAAAAUCAGUUUACUACUAAGAAUGACAAUAAUAAUAUUGAAUAUUUGUUCUUUAACUUUACAUUGAUUUAGAAAAUUAAAAUAUACAACCUAAUUUUAGUUUUUCUUCAAUGUUUAGUCAUGUAAUUACUACUUAUUAGACUUUAUUUUUGCAUGAUUUAGUACUUUUAAUUAUGAUCAUUUCUUACAACCUAUUAUUUUGCGAUAUUUGUUUUAUGUGAUUUUAUUAUUAUUUUUUAUAAAUUUUUUUGUGUCAUCACUCAUCUCAUAUUUUGUGUUAGUUUCUUUAAAAAAAAUACAUUAGAUGAUUGUAUUUUGAUAGGACUAAAAAUAUUUCUAAAGUACAAGUUAAUUAUAUGUUUGUAUGAAUACUUUAUCGAAAAAAUUCGAGGUUGAAAAAUUUGAGUUUUAUUAAUUUGAUUUGAUUUAAAGAUUUAAAAAUUCAACAAUAAUGAUUUGGUUUGAUAUUUGAAAAACUUUAUUCAACCCUAUCAUAUAUACCCCCAAUUGGUACGAAAAAAUAUGAUUCGUUCAAUCCGUUUAGAUCAGAGAAAUAAUUAAUUUUGUAAAACAAAAUAGAAAAAAUGGUGUUGGAUUUUAUAAGACUCUUUCUUUAAAGCUAACAAGAAGUUAAAAUAAAAAUAUUUUUUAUUAUAUAUUAAAAACCAUUUUAAUGAAAGUGAAAUAUAUUAAGAAUUAAAAUAAAGUACUAAUAUUUAUGCAUAAAGGACCAUUUUGAUACGGAGGGACACAGAAUCUUAUCCCCUCAAAAAAUUGAUCAAUAAUCAACAUGCCCAACCCUUCACGUUUUUGUCGCUUAAUACCAACAAUUGCUCGAAAAUGUGUAGAUCAUGCUAUUGGUGGCGGACCUAAAAUAAAAUUUAGUCGAAUUUGAUUUGAUUUAAAUAUUUUAUUCGUCUAAAAAAUUAUUAUUAUUAUAUANNNNNNNNNNNNNNNNNNNNNNNNNNNNNNNNNNNNNNNNNNNNNNNNNNNNNNNNNNNNNNNNNNNNNNNNNNNNNNNNNNNNNNNNNNNNNNNNNNNNNNNNNNNNNNNNNNNNNNNNNNNNNNNNNNNNNNNNNNNNNNNNNNNNNNNNNNNNNNNNNNNNNNNNNNNNNNNNNNNNNNNNNNNNNNNNNNNNNNNNNNNNNNNNNNNNNNNNNNNNNNNNNNNNNNNNNNNNNNNNNNNNNNNNNNNNNNNNNNNNNNNNNNNNNNNNNNNNNNNNNNNNNNNNNNNNNNNNNNNNNNNNNNNNNNNNNNNNNNNNNNNNNNNNNNNNNNNNNNNNNNNNNNNNNNNNNNNNNNNNNNNNNNNNNNNNNNNNNNNNNNNNNNNNNNNNNNNNNNNNNNNNNNNNNNNNNNNNNNNNNNNNNNNNNNNNNNNNNNNNNNNNNNNNNNNNNNNNNNNNNNNNNNNNNNNNNNNNNNNNNNNNNNNNNNNNNNNNNNNNNNNNNNNNNNNNNNNNNNNNNNNNNNNNNNNNNNNNNNNNNNNNNNNNNNNNNNNNNNNNNNNNNNNNNNNNNNNNNNNNNNNNNNNNNNNNNNNNNNNNNNNNNNNNNNNNNNNNNNNNNNNNNNNNNNNNNNNNNNNNNNNNNNNNNNNNNNNNNNNNNNNNNNNNNNNNNNNNNNNNNNNNNNNNNNNNNNNNNNNNNNNNNNNNNNNNNNNNNNNNNNNNNNNNNNNNNNNNNNNNNNNNNNNNNNNNNNNNNNNNNNNNNNNNNNNNNNNNNNNNNNNNNNNNNNNNNNNNNNNNNNNNNNNNNNNNNNNNNNNNNNNNNNNNNNNNNNNNNNNNNNNNNNNNNNNNNNNNNNNNNNNNNNNNNNNNNNNNNNNNNNNNNNNNNNNNNNNNNNNNNNNNNNNNNNNNNNNNNNNNNNNNNNNNNNNNNNNNNNNNNNNNNNNNNNNNNNNNNNNNNNNNNNNNNNNNNNNNNNNNNNNNNNNNNNNNNNNNNNNNNNNNNNNNNNNNNNNNNNNNNNNNNNNNNNNNNNNNNNNNNNNNNNNNNNNNNNNNNNNNNNNNNNNNNNNNNNNNNNNNNNNNNNNNNNNNNNNNNNNNNNNNNNNNNNNNNNNNNNNNNNNNNNNNNNNAUAUAUAUAUAUAUAUAUAUUAUAUAUAUAUAUAUAUAUAUAUAAUUUAAAACGUAAUAACCUAAAAGAAGUAGAAUUCGAAUUUAUAAGAUUCAAAUGUUGAAUCAAUUAAGUUUUAAAUAAAGAAAAAAGACAAGUAACCUGACAUCCAUGGCCACAUUUGACUCAUGGAGCAUAUUAUAGUUUGACUAUUAGGACUUCUCCUUCAACAACAUCUUAAAAAAAAUUCUUUAGGAUAAAAAUAUAUAUCAUAUUUUUCAGUAAAAUAAAAACGUCCAUGUGAUAAAAUUAAAAUUCAAAGUUUAUUAGACAAAUAUUUAUUGUUGUAAAACAGAAAAGUGACUGUAAUUAAAAGGAUAGACCUUUAAAAGGUUUUUUCGUGCAAAGCUAACUGUAUUUUUAAAAAUAAAAAAUAAAAAGGAGAGAAAAAUAAACAAUAAGCCUAAUUUACUUAUUUAAAUAACCAAGCGUUGACUUUGUACAAGUCUAGUUGACUAAUUUAAUCCAAUUUAUGUGAGUGCAGGUCCUGAUGAGUUAGAUUGGGAAUCCUAUGCGUAGCUACAAGUAGCAAAAUAGAAUGACAAAUGUAUUCAACGGAUAGUUAUUAUGUCAUAAAAUCAUAAUUUUUUCUUAGUUUUAAUUUUUUUUCAAUAAUAAAAUGACUUUAUGAAGAUAAUAACUAUUGAUUGAGUGAUUGUAAAAGAAAUCAACUCUUACCAUAUAUGACUUUUUGGAACAAUCUAUAUGCAUCUUUAUAAACACGAUUCCAAAAUAAAAACUGAGGGUUAAUUUCAUAUGAAUAAUCGAUCACCGUUUGCUUUAUAUAUAGUGUCAAACUCAUCGAGUUUCAUAUCUCUAUUGCUAAUAUCAAUUCCUUACUAUCAUGCCAAAAAUUAUACGUGAUUGAUAGUAAAGACACAAUUCUUUAAUUUUUAACUAAGUUUAUCAAGCAAGUGUCGUAUUUGAUCAUGACUCUGACCCAAGCCACCCUAACCCUCUCGUGGAUCUUUCCAUUACCCAAUAUCAUGAGCUCAAAACAGGACAAUGUAUAGUAGCGGUCCCCUUUAAAAGUCCUAUACUAGAUCCAAAUUAAAUAUAGUUUCAUGGUAGAAAUGAAUUGAAAUAUCAAAAAGUACAAAUCAAUGAUUAAAGCGUACAAAAUCAAAGAAAUUGUAGAAUAAGGCUUCUACAAUAUUCUGAUGAUUAAUCAAUUUGGAAGAUAUAGUUUGAUCCAAAAUCAAUAGCAAAGAAAAUAGCUCUAACUUUUGGUCUUCCCAAAUCUUCUUGGUCAAAGUCCUUUAUUAUUUCAAAAAUCAUCAUGAAUUUUCUUCUGCCAAAAAAUGUAAUUUCGAGGUUCAUCGAUUGAUCACUACUCAUCAUGAGAUAAAUCUUGUAAAUUAUAUAGUUCUGAACUUAUAUUAUUCUAUUUUCUUGACCAUCGAUCCACUGCAACAGCAGUCAAAUAAAUAAAGCUAAAUAUAUAAUAUACACCUAAUUUAAUUGUUAUUAUUAUUAUUAUUAUCCAUAUGAAGGAUGGGAACAAAGAGAACAAAUUAAAUGUUUGUUGCUUUUAACAUGUAAGUUUUUUUUCUUAAAAAAAUAAUAUCAUCUUUGUAAAAUGAUUUUUAUAUAUUCAGAUGGUAACUGGUCAUAAGAGAUCAUGUCGCCUUUAUUUCUUUUAGUUUGACAACGAUACGAACAACAUGUAUAUGUUCAGUACAAUUCUUUGACCUAAAUAUUCUAGAAACAUUUAUAGGCUCAAAUUUUUGUGGCUGUAAUUUACACGGUGUCAAUUAUUCAAUACAAUGUUUUCGUACAGAAUCAUAUAAAGAUUUUAUUAAAGUUCUAAUGUGCUACUUCCCUCAGAUUAACUUUUCACAUUUGUACUACAUUUUGGCUAAAAUAAAUGAAUUAAAAAGAAAUUUUAAUAGUUCAAUUGGUUGACUAUUUGAACUCACACAUUGUUGGUGAGGGUUCGAUUCCCCAACACUAUAAUCCCUUCCCUUGCCCCCAAUUUCAAAAAAGAAUAUUGCAUGAAACAACCUCCUACCCCACCUUAAUGAGAAAAAAAAUAAACAAAAAUGACAAACUUCAUGAUGGCAAAUUAUAGUAGUAUUGGUCAUAUUUUCUCUCUUUUGUGUUGAUUUUGUUGACAAAGAGAGGGAAUUUGAGAUUGGCUAGAUACAAAUUUUGAUCUUUUGGCCACCAAAUAAAUCGUCCAACUUUUUUCAAUAUUUUUUUGUUGACCUUUUAAUUUGCACGUUUAUUUCUAGGGUGGAAUUGUUGGUUGCACUAUGAGAUUCACAAGGGGAGACAUGUCCACCACUUUCAGAACUUGAUAAGAGUAACUUUUAUUUAUUAUGUUUGAGACACCACCUAAAUAUUUUAUAGAGUAGCUUCUAUUUUAAUAUCGAAUUCAUUCACCAUAACCACAACAAACAUUAAUCAAUAUUGAAAAUCAACACCAUCAACCACUAGUAUAUACUACAACUAUCAUUUAUCAAUCAUCACCACACACUAUAAUUAUCUAUCGUUAUCCUCCACCACAAUCAUCAUCAACCGCCACCACCCUUAAUGAGCAUCUACAAUCAUCAUUGUUAGCCAUCACCACCACAAACCACUAUAUAUCUUUUAAAAUAUUUUUGUUUGAUAUAGUAUUAAAUAAAUUAGUUUUUUUAAAUUUAUACUAAUCAAUAUUCAAAUAUAUAUAAACUAAUAACUCAAAACAUAUUUACAUGAUCAUAUCACUUAAAAUGUUAAUAUAGACAAUCUUAUAUAAUAAACAUAGAUCAAAAACCUAAAAGAAGUGAUAAGUCUUACGUGAAAUUACACGAAUAAUAUAAAAUAUAACUAUAAUAUUGUCAAUAUAUAUAAUUUAAAUUUUCCAUAAGAAAUGAAACAACUCAAUAAGUUGGAGGGAAUUGUAGGAUUUGAAAAGGGAAAGUUUUAGCUAUGGAUCCGACAAUCUCAUGAUUUCUGAUAAAAAUUUCAAACAAGUAAUGGAUUGUCUUCUUCAAAAAAAGAUAUUCACAAGUAACAAGUUGAAGUAAUUGAGAGAUUUCCACCAAAGGGUAAAGGGCAAAGGGCAAAGGGGGGCAGGCAUCAUAUGCUGAAUUCCAUGCAACCAUAAUGGCCAUUUCAAUCAGUGUGUUAAAGUCUUCUAUUAUUCAUCAUAAGAUAAAUAUUUGGUGGGGUCUUUCUCUUUUUCUUUUUUGUUGUCUUCUCUUUGUUUUCUUUCCCUUUGAGGUACAUAUGGUUUUUUCAAACUUUGACACCUUUUUUUAAAAAAAAUUCUUUCUUGAACUUUGACAUGCAAUGUUUCUUUAAUUUAUUGGCUGGUGAAACUUAACACUCCUUCAACCACUUAAGUCAAUUACAUUUGCACUAACUAAAUCCUCAAUAGCUAAGUGGUAUCUGAUUUAAUAUGUAUGUUGCUUAUAAGAGGCAGAUUCACGAGUUAAAUUUGAUAGGUUCAACCACUCAAGUCAAUUAUAUCUGCAAAAACUAAAUCCUCAAUAGCUAAGUGGUAUCUGAUUUAACAUGUGUGUUGUUUAGAGGCAGAUUCAGGAUUUAAAUUUGAUAGGUUCAACCACUUAAGUCAAUUACAUUUGCACUAACUAAAUCCUCAAUAGCUAAGUGGUAUCUUAUUUAACAUGUUUGUUGCUUAGAGACAGAUUCACGAGUUGAAUUUGAUAGGUCCAACCACUCAUGUCAAUUACAUUUGCACAACUAAAUCCUCAAUAGCUAAGUGGUAUCUGUUUUAACAUAUGUUGCUUAGAGGCAGAUUUAAGAUUUUAAUUUGAUUGGUUCAACCACUUAAGUCAAUUACAUUCGCAGAAACUAAAUCCUCAAUAGCAAAAACUACUAUUCUCUAUAAAAGAAAAUAAUAGUGCUAUAUGAGUUAACAUGUGUGUGCGUUAGAGCAGAUUUACGAGUUAAAUUUGAUAGGUUUAAUUUUUUUGAGUUUAUUAAUGUUGAACACACUAUUUUUAAACUAUGGAUUUAAAAACACUUGGCUUACUCGAAUCCAUUAAAAUAGGCUCCGUUGCCUCUGAACACACUUCAAGUCUUUCACCUGAUACCUGUUAUUUCGCACCAACACAAGUAACAUUGUAAUUUUGCUGCAUAAAACUUUGGCAAAGAAAAGAGAUCACUUAUUAAAAGUUAUGUUUACCCCUUGCUUUUCUUUGUUUCUUUGGCUCUCAUGAGUAAGAAGGGCCCUAAUACUUUUUUUUUUCUCAUUAAUGAUUUUUAAUCAUGGAAUAUCUGAUUGCUAUUGAGUUGUAACUCAAAAUUCAAUCAUAUUUUGUUAUGAUCAUUGUUCAAUAACUCUCAACUAUGGCAUUUUUCUUUGACUUUUAAUUUCUCUAGACUUAUACAACCUUCUAGAAAAUGCAUUUUUUUUCAUCAAUUUAAACCAAGCUUGAAAUUUUACUUUUAUGGGAAAAGCCAUAAUCUAUUUAUUCAAAAUUUCACUUAUUAUUUAUUCUUUAGGCCCUCUAGAUCCACCUUCUAAAGUUUACUUGCCACUUAUUACAAGGAGGAAGGAGCCUUUAAUAAUUGGGCCUAACCUAUUGUGUUGGAUAUCAUGUUGGGAUUUCCCCUAGGUACUUUCAUUUUAGGGCAAGUUAUAUAUUUUUGGAAAAUUAUAUAUAAUAGCAAACUAUUAAUUCAAAUUAAAUGCUAUAAAUAUAUUUUGAUUUAAUUGUACCCUAUAGCAAACUAUUGCUAUUUUCGCCACUCUCCCUGGUGGAAUCUCGCUCGCCACUCUCGUUUGGUGGCAGUCUCGCUCGCCUCACUCCUUUUAUACAAACACAAAUGUAUAAAAUGUGUUUGUGUUUGUAUAAAGCGAGAGGAAAUUGUAUAUAUACAUAUAUUUUCGUUCUCCUCUCUCCCCUCUCCCAGAUCUCGCUCGUCACUCUCCUAAAUCUCGCUCGCCUCUCUCGCUUAUACAAAUAGAAACGAAAUGUAUAAAUUGCGCUUCUGUUUGUAUAAAGCGAGAGAAAAUUGUAUAUACAAAUACAAAUACAUAUAUUUUCGUCCUAUACACUUAUGAUUAUACAAAUACGAUCUUCCCCGAAUUAUACAACUGUUUUCUUUAUAUAUGUAUAGCGAAUUAUACAACUGUUUUCUUUAUAUAUGUAUAGCGAAUUAUACAACUGUUUUCUUUAUAUAUGUAUAGCGAAUUAUACAACUGUUUUCUUUAUAUAUGUAUAGCGAAUUAUACAACUGUUUUCUUUAUAUAUGUAUAGCGAAUUAUACAACUGUUUUUUUUGUAUAUGUAUAGCGAAUUAUACAUAUAUAUGUUUGUUAUGGAGCGCAAUUAUGCAAACUUUGCUAUAACACACAAAUAUGAAUUUUGUGUUUGCUAUAUGUGAAAGUUGCUCUAUAUUUUACCGAUCGGCUAAAAUAAUUAUAAAAUCGAUUAAAAAAAACAAUUUUGUAUAAAAAAUGUGUAUUUUGUGUAUUUCAUAUAAAAAUAUACAUUUGCUAGCUAUUAUUUUAGUUGUUGGUUAUGUAGUGUAGUUUUCCCCUUAUUUUACUACUCUUUUCUUUUUGAGAAAUUGGCAUGUGUAUGUUAGAAUUUUUGACCAAAGUAAGCCAUUAUUAAAAUCAAUUCACCAAAAUAAUAUGUUUUUUUGAAAUUUUGCAAAACUAGUAUAAAUGUAGUUCUCAGUAACGUUUUAGAUAAUAUUUUAUUCAAAAAAAUUCAAUAACUAAAAGACAAUAAUCUGACAGAGUAAACAGACAUAAAACGUUAUUGUUAGUAACGUUUUAUAAUUCGCUACUCUGAAGCACGUUUUACAGCUAAAAUGUGACUCACAGUAACAUUUCUCUAGAAUGGUGAAAAUUGAAAUUCAAUCUUGUACCCGCCUCAUUCAUUAUUCAAAUUUCCAUUAUUAAAAUGGAUAGAUAUAUUUUGUACAUACAUUCAUUUGAAAUAUAUAUGAUUUUCUCUUUUCUUUCUCUUUUCAUACAUAGACAAUACAUUUUAAAACAAAAGUAAAAAAAAAAGGUGAGGAAGACUUUGCACAAAUUGGAGCUUGUCUCGUAUCAUUUCAAUUUCAAAUUUUGUAAAUGAAUCAUAUGAGAGAUCUUCUUCUAGCCUAAGAUAGCAUCCCUUUCAAAUAUUAGACCAAUCGGUUUCUUAUAAUUAUUAAAUAUUAGACUAUCAAUAAAGAAGCUAUUGAAUUAAAAUUGAUGUAAUAAGUAAGCAAAACGCCUAUUAAAAAAAAACAUAAUGGCUACAUCAUAAUAGAAGAGACAAAGAAAUUAAUUGAUAUUGUAGUAAAGCCCUCCCCACAACUUCUUUUCCUUACAAAAAUAUUAUCUUAUAUUCAUUUUAAUAGUGGAAGUUUAAUAAAGUUGAAUGAGGCAUGUACAAGAUUGAAUUUUAAUUUUCAGUCAUUCCAGAAAAAAAUGUUAAUAUGAGUCACGUUUUAGCUGUAAAACGUGCUUCAGAGUAACGAAUUAUAAAACGUUACUGACAAUAACGUUUUAUGUCUGUUUAUUCUAUCAGAUUUUUGUCUUUUUGUUAAUGAAUUUUUUUUGAAUAAAAUAUAGCCUAAAACGUUACUGAGAACUAUGUUUCUACUAGUUUCGUAAAAUUUCAAAAAAAAAGUAUUAUUUUGGUGAAUUGAUUUUAAUAAUAGCUUACUUUGGUAAAAAAUUCGUGUAUGUUAGUCAGAUAAAAGAUUGUUGUCAUCUUCACAUUGCGUUGAACUCUUCGUUCAAAAGCCUUGAAAUCAUUGUUGUGAUAUUUGUAAACUUAAAAACGUGAAUAUAACUAUGAAUACAUUGUUCGAGGUAAAGAACACAUUGUAUAUAUGUAUGUAUGUCCAUGUAUAUUUCAUGUACAUGUGUAUAUCAGUGAAUAUCCAUGAUAGUAUAUGUUCAACAAAGAAGAAUGUAGGUCAUGUAUAUCUGUGUAUAUUAGUGAUAAUAUGGCUAUGAUAUACACACGUGAUAUGUAUUAUCGAAGUAAUGUUUUCCAAGUGAAUUCCAUAUCUGCAAUUUAAUUUCAAUCAUGUAUGAAAUAACCUCCAAUAUACAUGUGAAAUUCUUACAUGCACUACUAGACUAUAAGCCUAAAUAAUUUUUGUUUCUAUUUCAUUUUUAUACAUAAUUAAACUUUGAAAAAUAAUUUAACUUUAAGAUUUCAACUCAGGUAUUGUUCGAACACUAACGCAGUGUUUGAUGGCAUGGGAAACUGUGUUUGAAAUGGUUGAGUGAGAAUAUGUUUGACCGUUGGUUUGGGCCAUUGAGGCUGAAUUUUCUUUUGGGCCUAGUAGAAUCAAUUUAAUUGGGCUGGGCCGGGGCAAGCAAUGGAUGGGAAUAAUUUGGAUAGGACUUAGAUAUUUUUACAUGUAAAAAUACAAGUGUGUUUUUUAUGUGGAAAAAUUGAAGUCCUAUUCAAUAAUUUGGAUAGGACUUAGGUAUUUUCAUAUGUUAAUACGUGUGUGUUUUGUAAGUGGAAAAAUUGAAGUCCUAUUCAAUAAUUUAGAUAGGACUUAGAUAUUUUUACAUGUUAAUAUAGGUGUGUUUUGUAUGUGGAAAAUCGAAGUCCUAUUCAAUAAUUUGGAGAAAGAAAAAAAUAUAAAUAAUUUGAAUUUCAUGUGUGUUGGAAAACAUUAAAAAGAAAAAUCUAAAAAUAUAUCAUUUUCGUAUCUAUUCAAAAGUGACCACAUAAAAUCAUUUCCUCCUUAUUUUUCUGGAGAAUAUUUUAUGUUUCUUUUAUAUCAAAAACAUCAUAAGAAUAUUUUACCAUCAAUAUUUUGUAUAAAUUCGAUUCAUGCAUCAAAAUGUUUUUUUUCUUCUUAAUUUUAAUAUCGAAUUAAAUUUUUUAUUUGAAAACAUAAUUGAAUUUCAUUCCCCUAGAAUCAAAGAAUGAUAAUUGGUUGGGAUAAAAAAAAUACGUCAUUGCCACCGUCUCAUCUAACUUUUACCCCACUUCAACUUGUCUCUAUUUUUUUUCUUUUAAUAAAUAUAAUAAAGACGGUUUUUUUUUCGAAUUUAAAGACUAUUACAUACUACAAUUUGCCUAGAAUACAUAAUACCUAAAUGUAUAUAUAUUUUCAAAAGAUAAAAUUACAUAACCAGGGUAUACAAUAAAGCUCUAAAUUUUUUAAAUUCUUUCCAAGGCAGUUUGUAACUUUAUUUACUUUCUUAUGAGCUAUGCUUGACUCGUAGAUUUUCUACGCAUUAAUAACCUAUUACUAAUAAUAAAAAUAAUAUUAAUAUAAUGAAGGUUAUGAUUAAUAUCGAACAUAGAUAAUACUAUAUCUUUAACAUCAAUUUUAACUUUUACAAGGUGGAGAAUAUUUGAUUCUUGUACCAAGUGAAUGUCUAUUUUAAGGUUAGGAUUUCGAUAUAGGAAUCAAUCCAAUUGGGUAAUUCCUUGGUAAAGCUUCCAUGAUAUGCUCUAUUCAUUUUUUUAUUUUUCAUUUGGUUUUCGAUACCCGUAUUGAAGUUCAACUAAUUCGGAUUCAUCCUAAGUCUCUAUUUAGGAGAAAGCGCUCCUAUCGAGAAUUUUUUUAUAUCCAGGACUUGAACCCAAAACUUCUAAUUAAGGAAAGAGCUACCUCCCGCUGCACCGUAUCUGUUAGUUUAUACAUAGUAAAAAAUAUGAGUUAAUAUCUCAUAUGGUCACUCAACUUUGAAUAGUUGACUUAGAAAGUCACUCAACUUUGAGUAGUUUACUUAGAAAGUCACUCAAUUUUAUUUUACAACUCAAAAGUCACUCAAUUAUUGAUAUUUUACUUAGAAAGUCAUCCAACUAAUUUAAAUAAUUUCUUCAUUAAAUUUUGUUGAAAUACAAUUUUGUUUAAACUAUUUUUAAAAAAUAAAUAAAAAAUGCUCAGUUUAAUUAUUUUGUUAAACUUUGUUGAAAUACAAUUCUUUUUUAAAAUAAUAAAAGUUUGCUACUGUGCGUCUUUUUUAUCUUUUUGAUUACUCCUUUUAAUUUAAUAAAAGAUUGUUAAACGUACCAUAGCAAUUGACAAAUUAAAAUUAAAAUGUACUGUAGCAUUGCUAUUAAUUUAAUAAGAAAAUAAUAAAAGAUUUCUACUAUUUUAAACGUACAGUAGCAAUUGAGAAAAAAACUUGCUAUUGUCUUGCUAAAAUUAAAUAUGCUGAAAAAUGCUACUGUACGUUUAUCAAAAAAAAUUGUAAAUAAAUAAUUGAAGUAGGUCAAUAAGAUAAUUAAAAUAAAUAUUUUAUUAAUUCUUAAAACUAAUUUAAAAUAAAAUUUAGACUUCAACAAAAUUUAAUAAACAAAUCAUUUAAGUUUGUUGGGUGAUUUUCUAAGUAAAAUAUCAAUAGUUGAGUGACUUUCUAAGUGAGAUAUCAAUAGUUAAGUGACUUUUGAGUUAUAAAUAAAAGUUGAGUAAUUUUCUAAGUGAACUAUGCAAAGUUGAAUAAUCAUUUGAGAUAUUAUCUCUAAAAAAUAUUAGGUUGUUUAACUGUUCUCACUUAAUAUAAGUUCUAUAUGAUCAAUGAAUUUUAAUCUCAUUAUAUGUCAAGGAUUUACUUAACAAAUCUUCAAGAAAGAAAGUAUUUGAUUGUCAAAAAGAGUAUGGUCAUACUUCAAUCUCUUUUUGAAUAUUUUAUGAAUUUAUGAAAUUUUUUAGAUAUAUCUUCAAAGAAAUAUAUUUAUAUAGACAUGAAAUAAAAUUUAAAAUAGAAUAGUCUCCAAGCAUCUUAACCAAAAUAUGAUCUCCAACUUACGACUUACAUUUUCCUUUUUUUUCAUUACAUCAAAUAUUUGUAUGUUCAACAAUUUCAAAACCGAGAUACGUUUAUUGCUGGGUUCUGGCCUGGUGAAUUUUCCUAUGGGCUUUCGUUCGGGUUAAAACAAAACCAAAAAGGAAAAAAACCCGAGAAUAUUCCAUCGAACAAUUAGGGUUUACUAUGUAAAGUGUCACCGACCCGUUACCGUAUAAAUACCCCUUCUCCGUCUUUUCACUAAAGUGCCGCGUACUGCUAUUUGUUAAUCCUCACACCAUACUUGAGCAAACAUCAAAGAAGCAAAAAUGGAGCAGACUUUCAUCAUGAUCAAGCCUGACGGUGUCCAACGUGGCCUGGUUCGUCUUCCUAAAUCGUGUUUCUUUAAGAUCUAUCACUUUGAGCUUUGAUUCAGUGUGUAUUUUUGUCUAAUAAAUGUUAUAUAUUGUCAAUUUGUAUCUUAGUUUACUAAAUCCUUGAUAAGGCAGGCUUUUUUUUUUCUUU